rnacentral:lncRNA from 1 species
UUUUUUUUUUUUUUUUUUUUUUUUUUUUUUUUGGCGAGUGCUUGAUUAAGGUAAGAGAUAGAAAUAGACCAUAUGCAUCACGAGCUACAAAUACUAGUGGUAAGAAUAAAAACACCAUACUUUUUUUUUGCUUCGAGCUGCAAAAGAAAAGGUUAGGAAAAAAUGAAUCAGAUUUAAAUACAUGUCAUGUCCAGUAGAUAUUGAGUGCUGGUUAUUAUUAUCAAUUUUGUUAGCUAUAGAGCUGGAACACAAGCGCAACACUAAUCGAGCUGGUUAUUACCAUCAAUUUUGUUAGCUGUAGAACACAAGCCCAACACCAACGUCGAGAUUGAAGACGUUAUGUUUCACAAAAAAUCAUUGUAUAAAGGCACACAUUGAUAUUAACUCUUUUUUAAAAAAAAAACAGAAUUAAAGUUAAUUAACUUCUUGAUGACUCAAAUUCGUGACCCCUCAUUUACGAAUAAAGUGUGUGUUUUACCAAUUAAAUCACGUUCUAUUAUCUUACACAUUGAUAGUUGUAGGUCUUGAAUAAGAAAAAUAUUAAGUUGAAGCAAUGAAGUGAAACUUGUAGCGCAAGGGAGUUGAUAUUCCUACUAAUCUAAGUGUACAUAGCUCGCAUAACAUGAAACAAAGUUUGACAUGGAACCUUAUCCAAAUGUGAUAGCUUUCUAGUGCAGUUUUUUUUUUUUUUUUUUUUUUUUUUCGACACAGGGGUGUCCGGGUCAAUCCUUACGGGGCCCGACUAAUCCCCUGCGGCCCGGGCCCGGCGCCCCAACCCGACCCUAGCACGUUAAGUGCGCGGAGGAAUCCAGCAGAGCGGAGGCUCGAACUCGUGACCUCUCGGUCCUAGUGCAGUUACCACAUGCAAUUAUUUAACUUGGAUGUUGUGAUUUCUCCUCGAUUUCUAUCCUUCUACUUAAAUAGCCCCUUUGGGAGGACAAAUUUGGUGAGAAAAGAAAGGAGUAAGAAAGAAAGUAGGAUAUUUCUGGCAUUUAGGAGUAUUUUUAGGAAAAGAAUAGAAAUAAAAGGAGGGAUCUCACGUUUCUUUCAAACUACAAAAUACUGUUAGUCCAACAUGGUCAGUCCAAAACUGUUAGUAGCUGAAUAAAUAAUAACUAUAUAAAAUUUGAAUUUGAAAUUCAACAUUUAUACAUAUGUCAUAGAUCUAAUGGUGAUAGUGGAUACAUUAUUAGUGCAUAUAAGAUUUACUCGUAUUUUAAUAUAAUGUUUUGUGAUGUCAUGUGAAUUUCAAGUUUUAAGGGCACUUAUGUUAAAUAUUUUCCUUUUACUUCUCUCCACUCUCAAAUAAAGAAGAAUCAUUUUAUUCUCUUUAUUUCCAAAAGCUCCCAAACAACAUGAAAAAAAAUUACAAUAUUUGCUAUUCUAUUCUUUUCUUUUCCAACUUAAACUUUCUCUCUUUUUUUCCCUUUUGCCAAACUAGUCAUUGGUGUCAGCUGUUUUGACUAUUGUCUGUCCACUAUCCUCCUACUACAUAAUGAAAGACAACCUUAAAAACAAAUCAUAUUUUCUGUUUAUGCAAGAUCAUUCAUGGAACUUGUAGUUAGCAUCCAACACACUCCUAGUUUGUUUCUCUUUUACAUCCACUCAUUAGAGUCGUGCUGAUGGCAAAUAUAGAUAAACGUGAUACAUUUUGAGAGUUAAUUAGGGCUUUUUGUUGUACAAAUGCAGGAGCUAUGAGCUCAUCAGCUAUCUUCAUCCGAUACCGUGGGAUCCUGGCUCUGUAAUUUAUGAACAUUAUAGGGCCAGUCCACAGAAGCAGAGAGAAUGAAAAAUAGUGAUAUCCGCAGGAGAUGCAGUUUCUGAAUUGGUAACUAUAUCCUAUAAUAUAUUUAGAUGAUGCAACUUUAUUGCUAAACAACAAUGUGCCUAAACAACAAAAUUGUUUCCUAAGAUGCUCUAUGCUAUGAAAUAGCCUUAAAACUUUGGUAUUUGACAUAAAAUGCCAGCCAUGAAUUCAACAAUCACAAUAAACAAAUCUUGCAAAUGUUAAAAUGCCUGAAAUCAAUUUCUUGUGGCCCGCAUAAGAGCCAAUGUCACAAAGAUCCCUAAAACUACUUUCGCCACAAUAAAAGCGUGCGAAAGAAAGAAGCUUGGAGCUGAGUGAAAGGGCUGUCCCUUUCUAACCAGCGAAGAUAAGAUAUAAAGGGCCGAUAGAGCUAGAAAUGCUCAUACGGGUCCAAGUGGUAAUUUGAUGUGACAUUGUACACUUCUAAAUGUACAUGGCUCGCAUCACAAGAAACAAAGUUUGGGAUGGAACCUUCUUAUCUAAAUGUGUAGUUGAUAACAUGAAACAAAAGUUUGAGAUGGAGCCUUGAAUGUAGUAGCUUCCUAGUGCAGUUACCAUGUCGGAUGGUUUUACUUGGAUGUUGUGAUUUUCCUCGUUUUCUGUGCUUUUACUUAAUGUCACUUGAUUUUCACUAUUGUCUGUCGGCAUCCUCCUACUACAUAAUCAGAGAUAACCUUAAAAACAGUUCGCAUUUUCAGUUUAUGGAACUUGUGGCUUGCAUUCAACAUUCUGAAAACCCAACUUAUUGUUCGUUUCUCUUUUAUACCCACUCGUUGUAGUCUUGCGGAGGGCAAAUACAGAUAAACGUGAUAGAAUUUUGAGAGAUAAUUAAGGUUUUCUAUUGUAUCAAUGCAGAAGCUACGAGCCCAUCAGUUAUCUUCAUCCAAUACCUUGAGUUCCUAGCUAGCCCUGUAAUAUAUAAACAUUAUUAUAGGGCAAACUUACAGAAGAAGAAAGAAUGAAAAAUACUAGUGAUACGUACAUUCUGACGUGGUAACAGUAUCCUCUAAUACUUUUAGAUGUAGAACGUAUAAACAAUACAACUUUAUUGCUAAAGCACAAAGUGCUGAACAAAAGUGUUUCCUAACAUGCUCCAAGCAAUAAAAUAGUUUUCAAACUUUCGUAUUUGGCAUAAAAUGCCAGCCGUGAAUAGAGUGAAUGGAGAAAAAUGUCGUCCAACUAUUGCUUUUAUCGCUUUUCAUCACUUAGUUAUUUUUGUCGCUAAAAAUGUCACACAACUUUUUUUGUAGCUAAAAAAUGUCAUUUAACUUUUUUGUUAACUAAAAAUAUCACUCAACUAUUUAAAGAUAACUUGUCAGUAAUUACGUUAAGUUUGUGCAUCAAAGCCAUGGGAAAGUCACACACGUGACUUGCACGAGAGACCAUUGAAGGGUAAAAAUGGGACAAUUUUGAAAAAUGAACAAUAUUCUCAGUGUCAAAAGUAGUUACAUUAAAGGAUCAAGAACUAUAACUAAAAUACAUAGAAGUCCCAAACUUAUACCUUUUUUUUUUUUUUUUUUUUCCAACAAAGGCUCUCACUCCCAAAAUUGGGCCAUUUGCACGAUACCUAAUGAUGCUAAAAUCUUCACCUGAACUGACUAGAAUACAAUUCACCCAACCUGCUCUUGUAUGUUCUCUGUGGACGUCACCCAAGCUACCGGAGAUUAUUUGUGCUUUUAGGAUUUUUAUUGUUCCACAGGGAGAAAGCUAGAAGUUAGGAGAAGCUGAUAUCAUCAUUUCUGUGCUUUUAGGAAUUAUUAUUAUUAUUAUUUUUUUAGACUCUGACUAUUUUGUCCUGGAGCUCUUUGGGCACAUCAUGCAUGCGAUUUUCCAGUAGCAUACAUGGCCUAAAUUUAAUAGGAUGAGCAAGAAGUUGCGUUGUUUUUAAUAGUUGGGUGACACUUUUUACUGAGGAUUAAAAAAAAAGUUAAGUGACAUUUUUUACUAAGAAAAAGGUUGGGUGACAGAGAGAGAUAAAAGGCGAUAAUUUGAUCACAUUUUCCGCCAUUUGGCCUGAAAAUAACAAUCACAAUAAACAAAUCGUACGAAUGUAAGAAUGGACGGAAACAAUUUCUCCCGGCCCUGGCCCUGGCCCACAUAAGAGCCCAUCUCACAAAGAGCCCUGAAAGUACUUUCGCCACAACAAAGGAAAAAAAGCCGAGUGGCGGGGCAUUCCCUUUUCCAAGGAAAUAUUUUAAGACGAAAUUAUGACCUGAUUAAUAAUCAUCAAUUGAAAUUUGUGACAUAUGACAUUAUACAAAAAAUUAAAAUUAAUUUUUGAUACCUUUUAAAUCUUCACCCAAAAAUAUGCAAUUACAAACUCAAAACAAAAAUUUUCGUUGAAAUGUAAUUUCUAUUGGGAAGGAUGAAAGAGAGAAGAAAGAGAAAAAGAAAUAAAAUAAAGGAAAACAAUAUCAUCUUUUGAUAUUUUCUUGAGAAUAAAAUGAGAAACUAGAAAGGAAAGAGGAAAACCCAAAAUUAAAAAAUUGAAAGGUUAAAAAAAAUUGUAUUUUAGGAAAGUGAUUUGAAUAUUUUUUCUAAUCAUUUAAGGAGAAGAUAGAUCUCUCCAAUUCCUCUUUUUUAAUUUCAAUCAUUAAGGUGAAAAUUUUUGUGGAAAAGAGGAAGAAUUAAAUAAAGAAGAAAGAGAAAAAGAAAUAAAAGAAAAGAAAACAAGGUAAAUAAAAAGUCAAAAUAAUGCAAGGGCAAUUUUGUCUUAAAGGGGGUUAAGUGGGCAAAAUUAAAGGUUAGGGGGUAAACUGAUAAAUGAGAUAUUUUUUAAGGGGAUAAAAUAUGAUUAACCCUUGAUUAUAAGAGUGCCAAAGAUUUCAGUCUUAUCAAGUGAUUGACAAAGAUAGCUGUGUUAUCCUAUACCGCAUGCCCGUGACUGCUAUCAAAACUCUCUAUCAAAUAUUAUUGAUCUAUAAACAUUUUUUUUUUUUAUCGAAACGGUAGUUUUCUAUAUCAUCGUAAAAAUUUUACAGUAACUACACAAGGGUCCAAGCAAAUGUGACAACAGUCCCACAAUAUUCAAAAUAUUGAUAUAAACAUGCCAAAAUAUUUCAUUUAAGAUUUGAUUUCUUUGUAAUAUAGUUCAUAAAUACUUGUGUAAAUUUCUCAUUCAUUCUUGUUCCAGUUGGAGUACAUAAUCAUGGUCCUAGAAGUAUUUAGUUGUGAAGGCUUCAGCUACAAAUGUAUCAGGAUUAAGUUCUUGUUAAGUUGAACGGUUCAAUCGUUUGUCUCCCAUGAUGGACAAGGAGUAGGUGGGUUGUGAGCAGUUCAUUGUUAAAAUACUUAAAACUACCUGUCUACAUUAAGCUAACACUGGCAGCAGUUUUUGUGAUAGGAUUAUAGAGAAUGAGAACAAAUUAACAAGUUCUCAAUUAUUCUGUUUCACUCAUUUCAAGCAGUCAUGAAGGAAAUAGACCAACUCACUCAUGUAUGAUAUAUCCAAGUAGCAUUCAGCAGCUAGGAGGAACUGCAUUGCAUGCGCUUCUUAUUAUUAUUAUUCAAACAAGGGAACACACAAUAACUUACUGGUACAUUUUACAUAAAACGUCGUUGCUCCAAGAGACUUCUAUUCUUGAAGCACAUUUAUUCUUCCUAGACAACUUUUAGUUAUUAGAAGCGCAGAUACGGUUGAUUGAUUCAGCGCCCCUCCUGGUUAAGCUGAACAUUUACGGUUGCCACAGAUACUGCCCAAACGAGGUGAUGGUAUAGCAUUAACAAGUGCAGCAACGAUUUUCUCGACAUUUACUGCAAGAAGAGCAUCAUAACGGUCACUCGAAUCCUCUCCUUCUUCUGCUCCAGCUAAAUUAGCCAGUCCGCGGAUGGCAAUCACUUCUGACUUGCCAUUCGACAAGGAUGUCUGCACAUAACCAAAGACAAGUCAACUUGCUGCUCCCAUGUAUGCACUACUGUUUUCUUGGGGUCAGUUUGAGAGGAUAAAUUUGAGAUCAGAUAUUCAGUUGCAGGGAAGAUUCUUCAAAUUGGUUCUAGUUUGAUGAAGAAACGCUUUCACAAAAGAAUAAAGUAGAAGAAAGCAGUGAGGAUGAAAGUACUCUGGUAACAAGACAAUAAAAAUUACCAUGAAUACUGCUGCGCUCUCCAUAUCAAUGGAUGAAACAUUGAAAGUACUGUGGAGGAAAUUGCUGUAAGCUGCAUUCUCAACAAAAAAGUCGGCAGUUGUGCCCUUGACUCCAAGAACUAGCUUAGGCUGUUUCGGGAGGCAAACGCCAGCUAGGCACAGGUCUAGCUCAAUUCCCUGUUUGAACAAAACUACCACCGUCAGAAUCAAAAAGAAUUUACUAAAUUGAAAUGUGCGAAAGGGGUUAUUUUAUUUUCGCUUGAAAUAGAAUUUGGCAACAUAAAAUAAAGGUAAUUCUAGAUCUGAAUCUGUGCCUUAUUACCUCUAGAGUGGAAGCGAUUUGCAGCAAAUUCUCGGAUGCCGGGAACCAAAAUUUUCUUUCAGGAACAUCAGGCUCUCCUGUCACGGAAAAGAAGUGCUCUUUCAUAUAAGCCACGCGACCCAACAGAUUAAAUCCGAAUGAGGGAAUGUGAUAGCGUCUGAACUCUAGGUCAGCAACCCCAUUAUCUGGCUGUGGUGCUGUCUCGGAUUUCUGCAAUAUGCAUGCAUGCAUGCCCAGAUGAAGAUACACGCAAAAAUGUAAUUCCUCGAAUAUUGAAAAAAAAAAAAACACGUAGAAUAAUUUUGAAGCAAGGAAAGGACUAAAAUUUUGUCCACUUCACAGAAACAUAAAUAAAUAAAGAAAAUGCGGAAUUCAAUUGCACCAUCAGGUAUUUAGACUUUCCAUUAAUCGGAGCUGCUGUCUACUGCAUACGGAGUGAGGAGAAAAGCAUCAUCCAAAUUCAAAAGGCAACUGGUUCAUAAGCCUUGCUUGCGAAUUUCAGUAAUUAGCACAUUUUUCAAGCCUUUUUUCUCUUUCUUUCUUUCCUUUUUUUUUUUUUAUAAGUGAGAGAUCAUAAAUCUAAAAUCUUCUACUUACAGUUCAUUUCACCUUAUCACCCAACUCAACUCUCCCCUCUUCAACGUUUUGUUUCCACGGUUCUUUUAUCAAGUUGAGUGUAGUGAUUGAAUUGUUGGCAGUUGGCGCUGAUUGUGUGCGCUUGAUUUUGAGAAUCAUUCUCAUUGAAAACGCUUAGACGCUUAUGCUUUAUGAAUCUUUAGGUUUUACCUUUAAGGGAAAAAAAAAAAAAACAAAGAAACAAAGGAAUUAAUAUUACCAGCCAGUCCCAUAAUCCAGUUUGAGAAAACUGCGUUGGGAUUAAAACAUCUCCUAAGGACAGGGAACUGUCGGCGCCGCCCGCACUGCCAUAGUGUAUAACUGCUCUAAUUGGGAAGAUGUCCAACAGUAGUUGGGUCGUUGCUGCAGCAUUCACCUGAUUAAUCCAAUCCAAGCAAAAUUAUUGAAACCUUUUUUUUACUCGUACAAAAGCUCCCAAACUAACGAAGGGUGGCAAAACUAGAAACUGGAACCCAUUGGAACUCAAUCACGCUUACCAGGCCAGUUCCACAUCCGACGAUAAUGACACCAUUAGACCCUAUGGUCCCGAUGUGAAAACGCCUGCCUGCAAUGAAAUAAAUUAUUAGGUGAUAAAAAGUCAGCAACAAAUUUCGAUCAUUAUUAUGAGGAAGCUAGGAAAAAAAAACAGUAGUGGAAUUAAUGGUUGCGUAGCAGAUUUAAUGCAUGGGAAAUAUAUAUUUAUAUAUAUAGAUAUUUGCCUGACAAAUCCACGUAGGGGAAAUCUGGAUCAGGCUUGAAGGCACCAUCAACAGAAAAGGGUGUCUCCUGAUUGCCGCUACCAGAGGAGAUAAGACCAAGAAAAGGCGGUCUAACAGACAACUCCUUGAUUGCCCGAGGCAAAGGAGCGGCUAAAACAUUGACCGCUAGAGAAGAAAUCACAACUGAAACCAGUAAAAGCAAUUUCGUUUGUUUUCCAGCCAUUUUAUGCUACUUGUAUCGCUCUCCUAAUCUCCUUGCUCUCUCAACUCGACUGCAUGGUGCCUAUUUAUAGCACAAAUUGCGGUAAGAUUUGCCAGCUACCAUCUGUAAAUACACUCUUUUAACUUUUCACCACAAACCAUAUUCUCUCCUGCGUUAUUAAUAUUGUCGCUUUCCAAAUUAUGUUUCUGGGUCCAAAUUAACCGCACCGUCAGAAACAAAUUGACUCGCUAAAGUCAGUAAUCAGUAAUGUGGUCCAACAUUUCAAUUAUUUUCACAAGAAUUAAGGUCUACCAGUUGUAGCACUUCCUCGAUCAUCAGAUAUCAUUACUUACAAGUCAUAAUAUGGUUAUCAUUUCAUGUUCUUUGCAACCAGCCACACUGUAAUCUCAGACAUGCUUCCUUAAACAUGGACCGAAUUGUGUUGUUAAAAGUUUAAGCAUUAAAAAAAAAAUUUUGAUUUUGAUGCAUCAUUUAACUACACGGUUUCCUAAUUCUUUAAAAAAAAAAAAAAACCUAACAAGUAUGCCUGAAAUUUCAGAGCUUUCGAGGAAGCAAACGGCUGGCUUUCUGGCCGAUGAUUGAUGACUAAGGAUUUUUUUUUUUUUUUUUUUUUGGUGAAUGAUUGAUUGAGGUAGGAGAUGGAGAUAGGCCAUAUGCAUCACGCGCUAUAAAUACUAGUGGUAAGAAUAAAAACACCAUUUUUUUUGCUUUGAGCUGCAAAAGAAAAGAAUAAGAAUAAAUUAAUCAGAUUUAAAUACAUGUCACGUCCGGUAGAUAUUAAGUGCUUGUUCCGAGCUGGUUAUUAUUGUCAAGUUUGUUAGCUAUGGAACACAAGCCCAACACCAACGUGGAGAUUGAAGAUGUUAUGUUUCACAAAAAAGCAUUGUAUAAAGGCACACAUUGAUAUUAGUUAAUUAGUAAGUACUCUUUUUUUAAGAAAAAAAGAAUUAAAGUUAUUUAACUCCUUGACGACUGAAAUUCGUGACCCCUCAGUUACGAAUAAAGUGUGUGUUUUACCAAUUAAAUCACGUUACAUUAUCUUACACAUUGAUAGUUGUAGGCCUUGAACAAGAAAAAUAUUAAGUUGAAGCAAUCAAGUGAAACUUGUAGUGCAAGGGAGUUGAUAUUCAUACUAAUCUAAGUGCACAUAGCUCGCAUAACAUGAAACAAAGUUUGACAUGGAAUUGGAACAAAAUUGUUUCCUAAGAUGCUCUAUGCAAUGAAAUACCCUUAAAACUUUGGUAUUUGACAUAAAAUGCCAGCCAUGAAUUCAACAAUCACAAUAAACAAAUCGUGCAAAUGUUAAAAGUUAAAAUGCCUGAAAUCAAUUUCUUGUGGCCCGCAUAAGAGCCAAUGUCACAAAGAGCCCUAAAACUACUUUCGCCACAAUAAAAGCGUGCGAAAGAAAGAAGCCAUAUAUGCUUGGAGCUGAGUGACAGGGCUGUCCCUUUCUAACCAACGAAGAUAAGAUAGAAGGGGCCGAUCGAGCUAGGAGCCUAGGAAUGCUCAUACGGGUCCAAUAUGUGAGCUGAUGCAACACUGUACACUUCUAAAUGUACAUAGCUCGCAUAACAUGAAACAAAGUUUGAGAUGAAACCUUAUCCAAAUGUAGUCGCUUCCUAGUGCAAUUACCACAUCGAAUGGUUUUACUUGGAUGUUGUGAUUUUCCUCAUUUCCUAUCCUUUUACUUAGUGUCACUUGAUUUUCACUAUUGUCUGCCCGCAUCUUCCUACUACAUAAUCAAAGAUAACCUUGAAAACAGUUCAUAUUUUCUAUUCAUGAAAAAUUGUUUGUGGAACUUGUGGUUUGCAUUCAACAUUCUGAAAAGCUAACUUAUACUAGUUCGUUUCUCUUUUAUACCCACUCGUUAUAGAUAGUUGUGCAGACGGCAAAUAUAGAUAAACGUGAUAGAAUUUUGACAGAUAUAGGUUUUCUGUUGUAUCAAUGCAGGAGCUACGAGCCCAUCAGUUAUCUUCAUCCGAUACCUUGAGUUCCUAGCUAGCCCUGUAAUGCAUGAACAUCAUAGGGCAAACCUACAGAAGAAGAAAGAAUGAAAAAUAGUGAUACGUACAUUCUGACGUGGUAACAGCAUCCUAUAAUGCUUUUAGAUGUAAAACGUAUAAACAAUGCAACUUUGUUGCUAAAGAACAAAGUGCAGAACAAAAUUGUUUCCCAAAAUGCUCCGAGCAAUAAAAUAGUUUUGAAACCUUCGUAUUUGGCAUAAAUUGCCAGCCGUGAAUAGAGUAAAUGGAGAAAAAUGUCGUCAAACUGUUACUUUUAUCGCUUUUCAUCACUUAGUUAUUUUUGUAGCUAAACAAUGUAUACACUAUUAUCGUUGGAUACAUGACAUGUGUAUGAAAGUUGAAUUUCAAAUUCAAAUUUUGCAUAAUUGUCAAUCAUCCAAUGCUGAUAGUUGUCAAAUUCAAAUUUUACAUAGUUAUUAAUCAUCCAACGCUGAUAGUGUAUACACUGUCAGUUUUGGAAAGAUUAAUCCAUUUUUUUUUUUUUAACAAAGGCUCUCACAGUCUCACUCCCAAAAUUGGGCCUUUUGCACGAUACCUAACGAUGCUAAAAUCCUCACCUGAACUGACUAGAAUACAAUUCACCCAAGCUGCUCUUGUAUGUUCUCUGUGGACAUCACCCAAGCUACCAUGACAGCUACCGUAGAUUAUUUGUGCUUUUAGGAUUUUUAUUGUUCCACAACGAGAAAACUGUAGUUAGGAGAAGCUGAUAUGAUUUUUUUUUUAAAGACUCUGACUAUUUUGUCCUUAGAGCUCUUUGCGCAUAUCAUGCAUGCGAUUUUCUAGUAGCAUUUAUAGCCUAAAUAUAAUAGGAUGACCAAGAAGUUGCAUUGUUUUUAAUAGUUGGGUGACACUUUUUAGUGAGGAUAAAAAAAAAGUUAAGUGACAUUUUUUACUAAGAAAAAAGUUAGGUGACAGAGAGAGAUAAAAGGUAAUAAUUUGAUCACAUAUUGCACCAUUUGGCCUGAAAAUAACAAUCACAACAAACAAAUCGGACAAAUGUAAGAAUGGACGGAAACAAUUUCUCCUGGCCCUGGCCCUGGCCCGCAGUAGAGCCCAUCUCACAAAGAGCCCUGAAAGCACUUUCGCCACAGCAAAAGCGUGCAAAAAAAAAAAAGCCAAGUGGCGGGGCUGUCCCCUUCCGACCGACGGGAAAAACAUAAAAGCCAAGCGAGGAUAGGAAUCCUCGCAUGGGUCCAUUAUUGUUUUAAAUUAAAACCGUGCAAGUGGAUCGACGUUGCUAUCUUCAACCCGGACCGUUAAUUGAACCGGUGAAGUAAAAGGAUCGAAAUUCAAUCUGUCGUAUCGGUUCAACCUCGGUUCAAUGAAUUUUUUAAAAAAUAAUUUAUAUAAAUAUAUAUAUGCACAAAAUAAGACAUGCAAUAAACUAAUUUAAAACUUUAUAUGAUGAAAAGUUUACUAUUUUUGAAUAACUUGGAUUUUCAAAAAUAAAUUUUUUAAAUUAUAAGUUAAAACAAAUAAAUUUAUUUCAAUUUCAAUUAUAUCUAGCAAAAUAAUCUUAAAUCUAACCCAAAAAUAUCACAAUAUUUUAAAAUUAUACAAAAUUCACGUCUAUGAGAAUUUGACAUUGUGAACUUAAAUUUUAAUUUACAUCUUUGGGAUUUAGAGAUUGCAAUUUAAAAAAGAAAGUUUGGAGUUCAAGGGAAGUCAAGAGAAUUGAAAACAGAAAUGCAAACUUGAUAAGAAAUAAAAAAUGAGAUAAAAGUGAGUGGUUGUAGUAUUAAAUAAUUUGGGUUAAAGAAAAAUAAUUCUUUUUUAACUUUUUUCAAUUUAAUGGACAAAAACAAAAUUAAAAAGAUGGAAGAAAACAUCAAUAAAUUAAAACUAAAGAGAUUUGAUUAAAAAGGGAGUGACAAAAAAAAAAGGAGAGAGAAAGAGUUGAAGAUUAAAAAGAAAAAGUCAUGAGAGAAUGAGAUUUUGUAAGAAAAAUGAAAAAAAAAAUAUGGAUGUUUGUUUUAUAUAUAUAAGUUAUCAAAAAAAACAAAUAAGAUAUGAUGGUGCAAUAAAACCCUACAUUGGUCUUCUGUUACAAAAGUCUUGAGUUCAAAUCUUGAUAGAAGUAUUUUGCAAAACUUAAAAAAAAAAAAAAAAAAAAAGAGGGGAAACUUGAAAAUCGGUUCGAUCCGGUUUAGCGAUUUUCAAGAUUUUGAUCGGUUUUCUGACAAAGUCAACACUAUCAUAGAAUCGGAUCGAUACCAUGGCCGGUUCACAAUUCAACCGAUCAAACCGACCGAUCCGAUGCAGUUUUCAAAACACUGGAUUCCACAAGGAGAUAAGGAAAUCGCCACUAGGCCUUUGGCCUGGUGGUCACCACCAACUUGCUACUUUUUUUUUGUCUUUGCUAAUUUCUCAUUUUUUUCUUCGUCUCUCUCUCCCUCUCACACACACACACACACACAAAGAGACACACAUCCCCCCAAACAUGCCAACCUCGGACUCACAUUCCCUUUCUUCCUUUAUGUUUACAUAAAUUCUCUCAUAAAGCAAGGCAUCUCUUCGUUCCAUCAUUUUCUUACCCUUUAAUCUCAGCCUUGACUCCCUGUUUCUUUUUUCUUGUCUCUCUAUCCCUUUCCUUUUAUAUUUUUUUACUUGGCAAGCAUUCUCUGUUGAUUCCUAUGAAGACAUAUUUCCACCAUCAUUCUUGAUCUCUUUAUUAUCAAUUUAAAGGAGUAAAACACAGUUCGAGGUGGGAUUUAUUUUUUUCUGUUGUACAUGCACUUCACUAAGAACAGUACAAAACGGACUAUCCAAAAUGUAAUGAACUUUUACUCCACUUACAAUCUUAUUAAGAACUUCCCAACUGCGACAACAGCAGUUUCCCAUAUCUAACAAUCUUCGUGUAUCAUAACUAUGUUUCUCACAAAUUCUUUUUAUAGAGCCAUCCGGAUGUUUUUUUAGGUUGAAAGCCAUCCAAAUUUUAUUAGAAAAUCAACUAUUUUUAAAUACUUAUUCAUAUACCUUUAACUGUUCAACUGCAACAUCGUCCAUGAAUAUCAUAGCAAGUCUAAAUUCAUGAAAUUGCUCUAAUAAAGCAUGAAAUUACCAAUUGACAAAACUUCUGAUAGCGAGAUAUGCCCAUGCAUUACAUUUCUUAAGGUCUGACAUUAAUCGAAGGCAAUAACAAAUUGCCAAACAAACUGCGCAUGAUAAUCCUCUACCACAAAUUAAUUGAGGAUGAAAAAGUCAGGUACUAAAUGAUUCAAGCUUUCAUCAAUCCGUAAACAAUUCCUAAUCUUCUAAGCAAAUCCGAGUUCCAAAAUUUUCAACUCUCAUUUUCAAUAAUAUCUUUUUUGUUUGACAAAUGUGCUAAGCUGCUGACUCUGACAAUCUACCGAUGAAAAUGAAUAAAAUUCAAUUAGACAUUAAAAUGAAUUACAUACAAUUCUGAGAGCCCCGGCAAAGCGAGCUAGAGAGGAAGCAGAUGAUGCGAGUUUUACCGAGGGAGGGAACGGCAGGUGGAAGAGAAAAGCCGAGCUCGGAGAAGGGAAGGUGCUCGAGAGAUCACCGGAUUUCGGAGCCUAGAUAGCGCCAUGGAUCAUCCGCAAGCAGAUUCGGGCUCUAAGUUUUCCCUGCCUUCGUUAUGCAGAAGAUUACAGAGUAUGAAUUAAACUCAGUUAAUAUGUUAGUAUGUUAAUCAAAAGGGAGUUGAACAAAGUCGAAGAGGGGCUCUUCUUUUAUUACUAAUUAAUUUUUGGGUGUGGAAUUAAAUGAAAAGUUUUUUAUUCUUUUUCUUCGGAAUCCGUACUAAUUGUAAUGGUAACUUGUCAAACUAACCCCUCUUAUUCAUGCUUUAAAGAGAAAUUAAAAAUAGUUUUUUGAAAGCUUACUUUUUUUGUCUUUUUUACGGAAGAUACAAUUUGUACAUGCAAAUGCAGUCAAGAGAGAUGUUUAAGUAAUAGUAUGAGAAAUAAAAAGAUAAAUAAAAGGAUUAUUAUCACUUUACCUCCUUAAACUAUAUCAUUACUGUUAAUUUAUCCAUUAAUAUUAUCUUUUAGUCAUUUCACCCCAUAGGUGUUUUCAGACUCAGAUCGGGCAUCAACUCGAUCAAACUUAGGGGUCGAUCGGGGUUGAACCGGAUGAUAUCAUAAUUAAAAAUUAAAAUAUUGUAUGUAAAAUACUUAAGAGGAUAUUAAUAUUAAUAAAUGUAUAUUCAUAUAUAUUUGAUGUUUCAAAUAUAUUUAAGAAAAUACAAAGGAAUUAGAAUGAUCAAGUAGCAAUUUAUAUUAUUAAAUGAACAUUAACAAGUUUAGAAUUAAAAUUAUGGAUUUGAUUGAAAAAUAACACUAAACUUUAGGACAACAUGAAAUAUUUGAGAUAUAUUAAUAAUUUUUAACAACCUUGAGGCCAAAAUAUAUUAUUGAAAAUGCUUUGACCUUUAAAAAAAAAAAAAAAACUUGACAUCAAACUGGUUCAUCCAGUUUGCCGAGUUUUUAUACAUCCAAUCUUUUGGAGUAACUCAAACCGAACACUUCACCGGUUUCAAUUUGACCGGUCAAACCAGUCGGUCCGGUCCGAGUUUAAAAACACAACCCAUAAGUAAUUCAACUCAGUAUGUUAAUAAAAUUUUGACAAAAAUAUCCUUUUAUUUUAUAACAUUACUGCAUUGUUAUUAUCACUUUAUCCCUUUAAAUUAUGGUGAUAUAAUCGCUUUAUUUUCUAGAUAUUUUACCUUAUCAUUAAUCUAAAAAGUAUGUUUAAAAAUUUUUAAAUGUAUUUAUCUUUUUUAUAUAUAAUUAAAAAUAAUAAGGUUGUAAUAAUUAUUCUUCAUUUUUUCGACUCUAAGAUUUCAAAAACAUAGCAAUAAAAGGGUUUUUUUUAAUUUCUUUUUUCACACUUAUUAAUACUAGGAAAAGAAAAGGAGAUAGGACAAAGGAGUCAAAAAAUUAGAUUUUGCAAAUAAAGAAAAUAAGGAAGAAUAUAAUAUUAUCGUAUUAUUUUAAUAUUUUCGGAAUUAGGAUUGGAAUUGGGUAAUAAACAGAAAAGUAAAAGUAAUUUCAAAAUAAUAAAAAUAUUGAAUUCUUUCUUAUUUGUAUUAAAAAAAGAAUUGUGCUCUCUCCCUUUCCCUCCCCUAUUUUUCUUUUUUUUUUUAAUAUUAAUAAGAUUGUCAAGAAGAAAGAGAUUAAUGUUUUGACUUUUUUUCUUGAUACUAAAAAGGAGAAGAGUCAUUCUAAAUUUUUUAUUGUUUUUAUUAUAUAAAAAGAGGGUACUAUCUUCUAAAAUUUUUUAACUUAUUAAGCUGGUUUAAUGGUAGGAUAAAUUGAUAACAAGAUUAUAGUUUAUGGGGGUAAGGUGAUAAUAAUUUUAACGGUUAAACAUGUCUUAUCACUUAGAUUAAUAAAUUCCGUUAAAUUUGAUCAUUAGUCUUGAGGGUAAAAUGACUAAAAAAUAACGUUAAGGGGGAAAUUGAUAGUAAGACCCAAUGUUGAGGGGGUAUAGUAAAGUGAUAAUAACCCUAAAUAAAAAGGAAUUCAUUUUACAAAUUUUAGUUGCACAAAAAUUAACUAAAUUACAUGAAACAAAACCAACCAAAUGGAUGCACUUAUUUUUAAUUCCACUAUUUUUAACUUAAAUUAGAAAAUCCCUUUCAUAAUUUCCCUACUUUGUUAGUUUUCCAUAUGAAAAAAACUCCAACUUUGGUUUCCAUAUGGCAUCAAAACUGGAAAACAGAUAUGUACAACAACAAUUGUAGGCCUACACAGGAAGGGUGAAGAAACAAGAGUGAGAAACCCUAGUAAUGUGGAACCAUCUGAAUUAAACUGCUAAAGAAGGUGAACAACAGACAAUGAAAACCUUGAUCGUAUAUUCUUGGUUUUGGUUUACAAUUUCCCACACCAAUAUGCAUUUGAUUAUAAGGAUGCUGAAUAUUUUAAUCUUAUCAAGUGAAACACUAAGUGUUUUCCUUUGCCGCAUGCCUGUGACUGCUAUGAAACUUUUUUAUCAAAUAUUGAUCUAUACAUGCCAUAAGUAACUUGUAAAUUUUAUUCAAGAUUUGAUUUCUUUGUAAUGUAGUUCAUAAAUACUUGUGUAAAUUUCGCAUUCAUUCUUUUUUCUAGUCGGAGUACAUAAUCAUGGGCCUAGAAGUAUUUAGUUGUGAAGGUUUCAGUUACAAAUCUAACCAUAAUACCUGUUACUUUCAAGAUCUCUCAAUAUGAAAGAAACACAGAAAAAUGCUUCACCCAAGAUUGGCCUUGGAGGAAUGGCAAGAAAUUCUUAUUCGAAAUGUGAGAAAACGCUUUGAUGGUACAUGUUUAUUCCAAAAAGCCUUCAGUGCACAAUGAAGUCAGUCUAGUUUUGUUUCUUUGUUUAUUAGCAAAUGAGUUCUCAAACUCCUCUUGAUUAACUUGAAUCUCUGUUGCGGCUAAAUAGACUGUUGAAAGUGAAAUCCUCGCAAUGUCUUCACAAAUUGGACAACAGCCUUGGCUACAUUUGAUGCUGCAAGAGGGCCAAACAGACGAAUAGUAUUGUCUCCAUCUUGUGCUCCAGCUAAAUCUGACAGUCCUCGUAUGACAAUUACCUUGAAGCCAUUCGAUAAACAUGUCUGCAAUUCCAGAAAACAUGAACAUAACAAGUUAUCUUGACUAGUAAUUAUGCGCCCCGAGUUUCUAAGCAGAUAUAUUCUUCAGAUUAGUUUUGGUGCGAGGCGUUUACCAUGACUAUGACUGCACUCUCCAUAUCAAGUGAUGAAACAUGAAAAGUUGUAUAGAGGAACUCCCUGUAAGCUGCAUUGUCCACAAAAAUGUUGGCAGUUGCGCCAUUCAGUCCAACAACUACCUUGGGCUUUUCAGGAAGGCACAAGCUCGAGUUCACGCACUGUUCCAGCGCCAUCCCCUGUAUUAGUGAAAAUGCAUCCAUUAGAUUCAAGGGCUAGUUGAAGACAACUUAAGAGGAAAAAAAAUGUUUUAGGCAGCAGCAAUUAGCUGGCUGCAAAGCGAAUGAGGAUGUUACGUAUUAGCGAUAAGCAACCCACCUCCAGACUAGAAGAUACUUCUAGCCAAUUCUGACUUGUCUGAAACCAAAGUGUUCUUUCAGGAGCAUUAGGCUUUCCUGACUUAAGAGUAGAAGAACUCCGUCCAAUACCCAAUGCUCCCCAACUCAUUGUCUCCUCCAUUGGGAACAUCACAGCUUCCAAAGUCCAGUUCAGCAACAUCAUUUGUCGGUAUUGUUGCCUUGAAUUUCUGCAAAAUGAAGAGAUUGUACGCAAAUAAACUCGUAGUCUGCAUAUACUGAGGCAGGAAAUGAGCCAAAUGAUUAUUACCACCCAGUCCCAUAACCCUGUUUGAGCAAACUGCUUAGGGAUGAUGACAUCUCCCAUGGACAUGGAACAGUUAACAUUGCCUGCAAUGCCAAAGUUUACAAUUCCAAUCAUGCGAAAGACAUCCAACAUCUGUUGUGUUGCAGCUGCAGCAUUCACCUGGGCGUACUACAAUUAGACAUUUCUUGAGGUAGUACUACUUAACAGAAAAAAAACAAUGGCCGAAAUAGAAAAAUUCUUUAUUGCCAGCAAAUCCUUCAGUGAUUAACAGAAAAAAUCCUUCAGUGAUUAUCAACAUGAAUAGCUGAGCAAAUGAAAAUGAUUUUGCCAGCACUGAAGCUCUUAAGCAAGCAGUAUCUUUGCUUACGCGUUAAAUACUUCUGUCCAACCUUACCGAUCAACUCAACUUUAUGAUUUGUGAACUAGAUUGGCCAGUGAACUAAAACACCAUAGUUGCUGAUCACAAAUCAUAACAACUACAAGCAACUAUCUGUAAUAACCAGACCAGAAGAAUGUGAAAUGAACCUACCAUUCCCACUCCACAUCUUACAUAAAUGACUUUUGAUCCUUCUAUGCUCCCUACGCGAAACCGCCUCCCUGUAAGAAACCAACCACCAUUUUCAAUCAUCAUAAACGAUACACUUGCUCUCUUAGUACCAUAUUGAAGCGUAUGUAUUGGGGAUUGAUCAUGUACCUGACAAAUUCACAAAAGGGUGCUUCGGGUUAUGCUUGAAGGCACCAGUAGCGAAAAAAGCAUCUUCUUCUGGGCUAUAAACCGUAAUAAGACCAAGAUAAGGUCGCAUUUUUUUUAAGAGUGUUAGUGCUGUCCUUCACAGUCAGCAAAUAAUCUUCAUUUGUCAAAGUUGAGAAGCGUUCUUAGGCACGUUUGUCAGUAGUUUCACAGUUCAAGACUUUAAUGUAAUUCGGGUCCAAUAUGGCAUCGGCCAAAAUUUAGACAUUGUAAUUGAAACAUUUAAAAACCCUUUUCAAGCUCUAGGAAGUACGAAGCACGUACAAAUCUGCCAUCAUUUUUUUGGUAAAAUGGUACGUCAAUAGUUGAAUUUUGCCUUGCUUUUGUGUACCAUUAUUAUUCUAAUAGAGUAAAUCUUAUAUACAAUAAUGGUAUAUAUAUUAUCACUGUUGAAUAUAUGACAUAUAUGCAAAAUUUGAGUUUCAAAUUCAAAUUCGGAUUACGUGUCAUGCAUCUAAUUAUAAAAGUGCGUACACUGCCAGUGUAUAGAAGAUUAAUAUUUAUUAAUAACUUAAAAUUAUUCCUUGGACCAACUCAUGUUAAUAGCAAAUCUAAUUGUUUAGGCACUGGUUUAGCUCAAUUUCCUGUUUGAACAAAACUACCACACUUAGAAUCAAAAAGAAUUUACUACAUUGAAAUGUGCGAAAGGGGUUGUCUCAUUUUCGCUUGAAAUAGAAUUUGGCAACUUAAAAUGAGGGUAAAGAGAAUGUUAAUUCUAGAUGUGAAUCUGUGCCUUAUUACCUCUAGCAUGGAAGCGAUUUGCAGCAAAUUCUUGGACGCCUCGAACCAAAGUUUUCUUUCAGGAGUAUCAGGCUUUCCUGUCUCGGAAAAGAAGUACUCACUCCAAUAAGCCACGAGACCCAACUGAUUAUAUCCGCCAGCGGGAAUGUGAUAGCUUGCGAACUCUAGCUCAGCAGCAUCAGUAUCUGGAUGUGUUGCUACCUUGGGUUUCUGUAGUAUGCAUGCAUGCCCAGAUGAAGAUACAUACAAAAAUGUAAUUCCUUGAAUAUUGAAAAAAAAAAAAAGAAACACGUUCAAUACUUUUGAAGCAAGGAAAGGACUAAAAUUUUUUCCACUUCACAAUAAAAUAAAUAAAUAAAGAAAAUGAGGAAUUCAGUUGCACCAUCAGGUAUUUAGGCUUUCAUUAAUUGGAGCCGCUGUCUACAGUCUACUGCAUAUGGAGGGAGGAGAAAACCAUCAUCCAGAUCCAAAAGACAACUGAUUCUUAAGCCUUGCUUGCAAAUUUCAGUAAUUAGCACAUUUUUCACAUUUUUUCUCACAUUUUUUUCGUAAGUGAGAGGUCAUGAAUCUAGGUGCUUCUACUUGUCAUUCCUCCCAUCUUACAAUACAAUCCAACCCUUCCCUCUCUAGCAUUUUGAUUCCUGAGGAUGGUUAUUCCAGCUCGGGUAUCCCGAGGUCUCGCCCAGUAAUAUCUCUUGAAGCGCCACCUCGGCGGUUAUCAGUUGGGGUGACAUCCACCUCAUUACCGUCUCGACUAACAUCCGUAGCCGAGGUGACACCAGGGCAUCCGACAAUUGUAGAGAGGUGAGAUGUGACCUCUGACACCCCUGACACCUCCGACGCUUGACGGAAAGCUGCUCUGACACGCCGUCUGAACCUGACGGAUGUCCCAUCACGUCCUUUCAUAGAGAUCAGUCAAGUCCAUCAGAUGCAAUGACCAUAUCAGAUCUUUAGGGACCCGUGCUGGCAGUCCCUCUCUCCUAUCCGUCUUCUAUAAAUACUCAACACCUUUACUGAGAAGGGGCAUGACCAAUUUUCUGGUAACACACUACUCCCUUCUAUUACACUAUCUCUUCAUAACCGAACUAACUUGAGUUUCGGAGUUAUAACAGGGGAUCCAGCCCCUCUUUCAACCUAAGCAGGUGACCUCGUCCAAGAGAACUGCCCAGGAUAAAAAUACUUCUCUAGUGCGGGUGACUCACUCCAACGGGACGAAAAUCACCUCUUCAAUUGGCGCCGUCUGUGGGAACCCGAAGACAUCAGAAUAUGAAGCCUGCGCGUUCAAGGAGCCGAAAAGCUCUCACUAUUGGGGCUGAGCAAAGCAACGCAGCCCACCAGGAAGACAUCUCUGAAGGGCAGGAGUCCCCAAGGACUCAACCCGCCAACGAAGAAGCCAUAACCCGUAUGGCCGAGUUUGUAAACGAAAACCCCAACAUCUUUGAGGAGUUGGGUAGGUACCUUAAGAGGCAAGACAAACAGAAGGCUGAAUCCUCUAAAAGGAAGUCGGAUGGAUCUCCUGAAAACUCAUCUGAAGAGGAGUCGGAUGGGAGGCGCCUAAGCCGAAGUGCCUCAAAACGGGCAUUCUCCAAGACCACCUCUAAGGUAGCCUCAUUGACAAAGGCCUUUUCCCGAGGACUCUUGGGACGGCGACCUGAGGAAGAACCUCGGCCCCUGGGAAUACCCGGGGUGAAUUACAUGAGGGCUUCACCCUUCACUGAUGACAUCAAUUAGGAAAGGCUUCUUCCAAAUUUCAAGCUCCCCGCGAUACCGUCUUAUGACGGCCGAGGUGAUCCUGAGAAUCACAUUCACGCCUUCAUCUCGGCCUUCCGCUUAUACUGCAUCCCUGACCCUGUCAUCUGCCGGGCUUUCCCAGUGUUCCUCCAGGGGACUGCUCGAAAAUGGUUCUGAAGAUUAGAACCUAGGAGCAUUUCAACCCUGGGAGAAUUGGUGGAGAGAUUUCUCCAUCGGUUCAUCUCCUCCCGACCUACGACCCGGACCUCAACUUACUUGCUGAACCUGCAGCAGAAUUCGGGAGAGUCACUUCGGUCGUAUGUCCAGAGGUUUCAUGAUGAGAGUGUACAGAUACCUGACCCCAAUGAGCAGGUUACCAUCGCUGCCUUUACCCAUGGGCUCGUCUCCGGAGUGUUCAACACGAAAAUUCACAAAAAAUAUCCCCGCACUCUCCACGAGCUGUGGUUAAAGGUCGAGAAGGGCAUACAAGCUGAAGACCUCAACCGCAUGAAGAAGGAGAUCCAAGCCACCCGCCCAAAGGCUGACCCUCGAAGGGGGAAAGAUGUUGGCCGAAGUGAAGCCGGGACAGGGAGUACUUUCCAAAGUCCUGGCCGAAAUCGCCGCAGCAUGUUCGACAGGAUUUCCAAGGGGAAAACAUUCAUCCCUGAGUCCGAACUGACUCCCUUGAACACCACUCGAUCUCGGGUGUUGUCCGUAAUAGAACAGAACAAUCUCGGGAAAGCACCUCCCAAGAUGUACGGCAGCAGGGAUAAGAGGAACUCGAACCUCUACUGCCUAUACCAUCGAGAUAUAGGGCAUGAAACCGAGGACUGCAACGAUCUCAAGAGGGAGAUCGAGAACCUCAUCCGACAAGGACACUUGAAGCAGUUCAUCCGCCGAGGUGGAGGUCAUCAGUGUGACGAAAACCGACGUGAUAGACGAGGUGACCAACGCCGAGACGAGAGGCGGACGUCAAGAAGCAGCUGCUGGCCUCCUGAGGAUCCUAGGGAGACAAAAAGGCCUCCCCGAGAUGGAUCUUCAGGCCAGGGGCUAGGGUAUGGGCCAAACAUUGCCGGAAUCAUUAACACUAUUGCCGGAGGUCCGACGGGAAGAGAUAGCCAGAACUCCCGGAAGAGAACCUACAGGCAAGCUAACCCGGAUCAGGUAGAGUCGAGUUCUCGCCUAUCCGAAGUCAUUUCCUAUGGCCCUACCGAUCCUGUCCCAGCCGCCUCGAGUAGCCACGAGGCACUAAUAAUCGAGGUGCUCGCUAACAAUUACAUCGUUAAGAAAGUUUACAUUAACCCCGAGAGUUCGGUAGAUGUCAUGUAUCUCCGCACUUUUGAGAGUCUUAAGUUGGCUAGGGAGCACAUGACUCCGGUGCGGACUCCCCUUGUAGGGUUUGGGGGACACAUCGUCCACCCCGAGGGAAUUGUGACCCUGACGGUGACCGUGGGGCACCACCCCCGCUGCCGAACUAUCCCUGUGAACUUUGUGGUGGUUAAGGCCGACUCCCCAUACAACUUGCUCUUAGGUCGACCCACUCUUAAUGCUCUGCGGGCGGUGUACUACACCUACCACUUGAGUUUCAAAUUUCCUACCAUCGCGAGAAUCGCCGAGGUCAGUAGCGACGUCUGCGCUGCUCGGGAGUGUUACCUCGCCACCUUACAAGCAGCCUCCACAUCGACCGCCGAUGUGAGACCCGAGAAGAGGUCAAGUAUUCUCUCGAUAGAUUGUAUUGAUUCUCAGCAACCCGAGAAGAUCCCAAGGCUGGAAACUGGGGAUGAGGUGGAAGAGAUUCCCCUGGACCCCACGAAACCUGAUCGGAUGGUCCGCGUCGGCACUUAACUGCCGGGCCCGAUUAAAAGAGGUAUGGUGGAUCUCCUCAGAGAGUAUCGGGACGUCUUCGCUCGGGUCGCAGAUGAGGUUCAAGGAGUUCCGCACCACCUCAUGAUACAUGAGCUGAAUGUCGACCCCAAAGUCCGCCCGGUUAAACAGAAAAGAAGGCACCUCGGUCCUGAGCGCAGCCGAGCUGUGCAUGGCGAAGUGGACAAACUCCUGCCCGCGAAGAUAAUCCGAGAGGUCCAAUAUCCAACAUGGUUAUCUAACCCAGUCAUGGUCAAGAAGGACAUCGAAACUUGGAGAAUGUGCGUCGACUUCACCGAUCUCAACAAAGCUUGUCCCAAGGACUGCUACCCAUUGCCCAAGGUCGACAUCUUGGUGGAAUCGGCGAUGGGUUAUGAGGUCCUUUGCUUUUUUGAUGCCUUCAAGGGGUAUCACCAGAUCGGAAUGAGUCCAGAAAAUCAGGAGAAAAUUGCCUUCUACACUAACUAGGCAUAUAUUGUUACACCACCAUGCCUUUCGGACUGAAGAACGCCGGGGUUACGUAUCAACGCUUGGUUAACCAAGCUUUUAAAUCUCAGAUCGGCAGGAUUGUCGAAACCUACGUAGAUGAUAUCCUUCUCAAGAGCCACACGACCUCCACAUUCCUUUCCGACCUAAAAGAAGUCCUGAAAGUCCUUCGGGAGACGCGAAUGAUGCUAAACCCCAAGAAAUGUGUUUUCGGGGUCACUACGGGGAAGUUCUUGGGCUAUCUCGUCUCCAGACGGGGUAUUGAAACAAAUCCGGACAAGGUAAGGGCAAUCCAAGAAAUGUCUCCACCUCGAUGUGUCCGCGACAUCCAGAGGCUGACAGGGCGGUUGGUCGCCUUGAACCGGUUCUUAUCGCAAUCAGCCUCCAAGGCACUGCCAUUUUUCAAAGUUCUCAAGAAGGCCGACAACUUUUCCUGGACUAAAGAGUGUCAACAGACGUUUGAGCAUCUAAAGGAAUACCUCAACCACCUCCCAACACUCACCUCACCUCGCUCGGGGGAUAAGUUAUUCUUGUACCUAUCUGCUGCAGCCGAAACUGUAAGUGUCGUGCUGAUAAGGGAGGAAGGUGUACAAAUGCCUGUUUAUUAUGACAGCCAAGUCCUCCGAGGUCCGGAGACCAGAUACACUCAGGCGAAAAAGCUUGUGCUGGCCUUAAUCCAUGCAGCUCGUAGGCUGAAACCAUACUUCUUAGCCCACCACGUUAGCUUGAGGACUGACCAACCAAUUCGGCAAGUCUUAUCACGGCCAGAGGCUUCUGGACGCCUUACUAAGUGGGCCAUUGAGUUGGGGGAGUACGACUUAUCUUACGAGCCUUGUACGACAAUCAAAGCUCAGGCCCUCGCGGACUUCCUAGCCGAGCUCACUUUUGAUGAGAUGAAUAAAGCCACCCCGGCCACUACCCAGGUUACUACCCCGUCUACCGUCGAGCCUCAACGCUGGACUUUGCAUGUGGACGGUUCGUAGUGGGGCAGGCUUACUUCUCGAAAACCCCCAAGGAGAGGUGUGCUCGUACGCCCUGAGAUUUGACUUCGCUGCCUCCAACAAUGAAGUCGAAUACGAGGCUGUCAUUGCCGGCCUACAACUAACUCGAAAACUCGGGGGCCGCACACAUCUUGAUCUAUAGUGACUCCCAACUCGUCGUGUGUCAAAUACUAGGUGAAUACGAGGCCAGGGAAGAGGUGAUGCAUCGUUACCUCUCCAAGGUCCUCCAGCUGGCGACACACUUCGAGUCUUUUGAAAUCCAAAGAAUACCGCGGUCACAAAACAGAAGGGCUGACGCCCUCUCCCGGCUUGCUUCUACCUCUUUCUCCGACCUGAACAAGACGGUUCUCGUAAAAGUUCUAACCGAGUUAGGAUAUAUAGCUGAGGUCGUGUACCCCGUCUACCCUGGGGAUACCUGGAUGGGGCCCCUGACUCGAUUUCUCAGCCAAGGUGAGCUCCCGGAAGACCGAGAUGAAUCACAGAAGUUUCAACGAAAAGCAGCUCGGUACACCCUCCGACAAGGCCUUUUGUAAAAGAGGUCUUAUCUCGACCCCUGGUUGCGAUGUAUCACGCCGGAGGAAGGUGAGAGAAUCCUCCAAGACAUACAUGAAAGACUUUGUGGUGCUCACGUCGGCUACAGGAUGCUUGUUAAGAAAGCUUUAUUGCUUGGGUACUUCUGGCCGACCAUGAGGGUAGAUGCCCAGGUCAUGGUUCUUAGUUGCCCCUCCUGUCAGCACCACGCCCCUGAACACCACCAGCUGACCAACCUUAUGAUACCCAUCACCUCGCCGUGGCCAUUCGAGCAAUGGAAAACUGAUAUAAUCGGCACAUUCCCCAGGGCUCCAGGCAACUAUGCCUACGUGGUGGUAGCAGUGGACUAUUUCACCAAAUGGGUUGAGACCGAGCCCCUGAGAAGCAUCACCGGGGCUGCUGUUCAAAAAUUCUUUUGGAAGAACGUGGUUUGUCGCUUCGGCCUGCCCCGAGUGGUCAUUUCGAAUAAUAGCAGGCAGUUCGCGGAUAAUCCUUUCAAGGCGUGGUGUGAAACUUUGGGGAUUCAACAACAUUUCACUUCGGUUGGACACCCUCAGGCAAAUGGACAAGCCGAAAACUUCAAUCGAACUCUCCUCCAUGGACUCAAGACCAGGCUACACCGGGCUGGAUAGUCAUGGAUGGAAGAGCUCCCCAGCGUGCUGUGGUCCUACCGAACCACGCCGAGGUCAGCAACCCAAGAAACCCCGUUUUCCCUAACUUAUGGGUUCGAGGCUGUCGUCCCAGCCGAAUUCAUUACCUCGAGUCCACGAAUGGUCGCAUAUGCUGCCGAAGUCAAUGAAGAAGAACGGCGAGUUGACCUCGACCUCGCCGAGGAGAAGCGUGAUAUGGCCAUGGCCAAAGUCGCUAUUUACAAAAAUAUCCUAACUGGUUACUACAAUGCUCGGGUCAAGCACUUGCGGUUCAAUCCGGGAGACCUUGUUCUCCGGAAGAACUCAGUUAGCCGAACUGAACCUCAGGAAAAGUUAAAUCCCAAGUGGGAGGGACCGUACUGUGUUGUUGAAUCCAGUCAAAAUGGAUAUUGUAAAUUGGCUUACCGAAAUGACUCUCGGGUGCCCUGAACCUGGCAUGCUGAAAAUCUUAAAUUAUAUUACCCUUGAAGGGUACGUAUUCUUACAUUCCACUUCUUCAAGUUAUUUCUCACUUCUUUCCAUAUUAUUGUAAGUGAAAAAUAAGGGGACAAAGCAGUAUUCAAAAAAAGAUGAAUUCAAUUCGAUCAAAAAGAAGGCAAAAAUAUGCAAGAACAAAAAGUCAAUUUUAUUGAAGUGCGAAAAGUAAAAGGCCGAGGUUAUAUAUGACCUCGGCCCCCAGUUACAAGAGUGAAAGGCCAAGAUUAUCUGUGACCUCAGAUAACCUCGGCCCUCUAUUACAAAAACAAGUGCUUCUAGGCACUCCCUACUUCAGUUUCCUGACCUCCCAUGGUCUCACCCUCCGUCUUGGCAUCCUGAUGCCCUUCAACUCCUCCACCGGCCUGGUCUCCUUCAAGCUCAUCACCAUCACCAUUUGGCUCAAAUUCCUGGAGCCAUUUGUUGAAUUCGGCUCGCACCUCAGCUAGGUCCUUUCCAGACUGGAUACCCUCGGCAAUGCGGUCGCACAGUUCCUUGGCAUUUUCGUUGUAGUGAGAAGCGUUCUGAAGGGACUCCAGUUGCUCAGGAGAGAGAAAGGGCGUUGCCUCGUUAACAGCGGAUGUGAAGCCGAACAUGAAACUCGGUCGAGUGAGCUCGCCGAGUUCAUGAGUGAAGGCUUCCGACUUCCGGAAUGCCUCCACGGCAGUGACCCCGACCUUGUCUAUGGCCUCCUUGGCCGAUUGUUCUUCUUGAGCCCGUCUCCCUCUUUCCUCGUCAAGUGCAGUUACGAGGGAGUUGUUUGCGACUUCGGCCUUCUUCUUCGCAAGCUCGGCCUUGUCUCGCUCCAACUCGGCUGCUCUCAGCUGCUUUUCCAGAUCGGCAAUCCUCUUGUGGAGCUCGUCAGGUGAUUCAUACGUCUGUACGAAGUGCCCGAAGCGUUGGUGCAUCUCAGCCAAGAACGCCGUGGUGGAAGCCCAGGAAACUGAGGCGCUUUGCAUCAGCUCGACGGGAGAGAGCUUCCUGGUGUAGGUAUUGUCCCGUGGCAGGACCGAAUGCACUAGGAGCUCGUGUGCGACUCGGGCAUCUUUGUAUCGGUCGUUCACGUUUAUAUCCCACUCCGGACACCACUGUGACCCGGAGUGCCUCUUGUCCUCCUCGGCCGCCACUGAAGGCACGUGGUGGAGGUUGAACAAUGAGGACCCCGUGACGGGGUUUUUCGGAGUAAUGGCUGCCGCUCGACCCCGAGGUGGAGAGGCUAUCGUCACUCCACGGGAGGGGAUUCCCACAGGAAUGCCAGAGGAUUUGGAUUUCCCCUUCCCCGGCAUGCCCGAGGUAUGUGAACCUUCGCCUAUGAUCACCACGGCGGGCUCGCGGUCGCCCGUCGCCGUGGUGGUCUUUUUAGCCGGCCUGGUAGAGGGAUCAGCAGCAUCCUUGCACUUCUUGGGUGCCCUCUUCACCACUUCGGCCCCUCCCGAAGUGAUCAGGUCAGAAACUUUCACCACUGCAGGGAAUGAAAGAGAGUCGAUUAGAAUUUAAGAAAAAUAAAUAAGUAGAGAAAAUGGAAAGGUACAAGGUUUCUGGAGCCUAGAAGAGAAAAGACGGGGUGAUCCGAGCUGAUCAAGGCUCAGCUGAUCCCGCCGUCCACAAGCACUGCUUCUGGAAAGUCCCAACAGUUAAUUCUGAGGCUCGACCCCAUUAGCUUCUGGAGGUUGCGCUCCUCUAACUUGCCCGGGGACAUUUCUUUGACCGAAGUGGGAGGUCUCCACCAAAACCCCUGGGGGAAGUCCUCAGCCGGAACGAAGAUGAAGUUCCUUUUCCACUCCUUUAUCGAGCUCGGGACGUCCACUACUAAUUUCGGGACUUUAUUCCCGAAGUAGAACCAACCCUUCUCACUCCCGCUGUUCUUAAGUGAAUAACAGCGGCGGAAUAGGUUAACCGUAGGCUCUAUCUCCUGAUGACGGCAGAGCAGUUGGAAGCCGACGAGAACGCGAAUGGCAUUGGGGGUGAGCUGAGUGAUUCUCACCCCCCAGUACCUCAAACAGCCGCGAAGGAAUUUCGUCGUUGGCAUCCUGAGCCCGGCCUCCAGUUGCUCCACAUAGAUAGCCACCCUAUCUUUCGGCGACAGUGCGGCUGACUGGUGCGGUUGGGGUAUGUAGAUACUAUAAUCCCUUCCCCAGGGAUACUUGCGGACCACCUCGACUACUGAGACUUGUCCCAUACCACUACUGAAGAACGGCAUCUGGCCGUAGUUAAGAGUUGUCACGUUCGGAGGAGUGGAAGGCUCUUGUACGCCCUCGUCCCUAGGGACCUCGUUCCCGAGGUCAUCAUUGUAUAGAAUUUCGGGAUCGACCUCGAUCUCCUCGUACUGCUCCUUAGCCGCCCCAACUCGGUGAGACGCCUCAGCUCGGUGGGACGCCUCCGCACCUCCUUCCCCAGCUCGGUGAGACGCCUCAGCACCUCCGCCAUCGGACGCGGUCCUUUCUUCGGAGAGGUCAGGCCUCUCUGCUUCGGUAAAGUCAGGCCUCACCGUCUCCUUGUGUGUACGAGCUGUUCUAGCCAUUAUAACAGAAAAGAAAGAAGUGAACUUAUUUAGAAGAUGUGAUUCGAAGGAAGUGCCGAAGUGAAAAGACAAAGAAGCGGAGCUUUGGGGUGAUUCACGAUUUUUGGUAAAGAUUAAAACGGUGAAAAGGGGCCCCUAUUUAUAGGCACCCAGGGAGAAAGUGAAGAGACGCGUUCUCUCUCUCCUCAUUAAUGAAAAAACUGUUCAUCUGCCGCCAAUCUCGCGCCUGAUCAUGAACCUGCCAUUCAGACUGAUAUCCGUCCUGUCAGUUCCUCAGCAGUCCCAUCCACGCGGUCAUGAUUAUUGGACACCGUGUCUUACACGCUUAUCAGCUUUGAAAAGUAACGACCUCGGGAGUCCACGAUCUCGUCUUCCUCGAAGCUUGGGGGGCUUAGUGAGGAUGGUUAUUCCGGUUCGGGUAUCCCAAGGUCUCGCCCAGUAAUAUCUCUUGAAGCGCCACCUCGGCGGUUAUCAGUUGGGGUGACAUCCACCUCAUUACCGUCUCGGCUAACAUCCUUAGCCGAGGUGACACCAGGGCAUCCGACAAUUGUGGAGAGGUGAGAUGUGACCUCUGACACCCCUGACACCUCCGACGCCUGACGAAAAGCUGCUCUGACACGCCGUCUGAACCUGACGGAUGUUCCAUCACGUCCUUUCAUAGAGAUCAGUCAAGUCCAUCAGAUGCAAUGACCAUAUCAGAUCUUUAGGGACCCGUGCUGGCAGUCCCUCUCUCCUAUCCGUCUUCUAUAAAUACUCAACACCUUUACUGAGAAGGGGGAUGACCAAUUUUCUGGUAACACACUACUCCCUUCCAUUACGCUAUCUCUUCAUAACCGAACUAACUUGAGUUUCGGAGUUAUAACGGGGGAUCCAGCCCCUCUUUCAACCUAAGCAGGUGACCUCGUCCAAGAGAGCUGCCCAGGAUAAAAAUACUUCUCCAAUGCGGGUGACUCACUCCAGCGGGACGAAAAUCACCUCUUCAAUUCCAUUGUUCUUUAAUUUGUCGAGUGUAGUCAUUCGAAUUCUUAGUGAUCGAUAAUGACUGAAUUGUUGGCAGUUGGCACUGAUUGUGUGCGCUUGAUUUUGAGAAUCAUUCUCGAUGCAAACGCUUGGAUGCUUAUGCUUUAUGAAACUUUAGGUUUUACCUUUAAGGGGAAAAAAAAAAAAGAAACAAAGGAAUUAAUAUUACCAGCCAGUCCCAUGUUCCAGUUUCAGAAAACUGCAUGGGGAUUACAACAUCUCCCACGGACAGGGUACUGUCGGCAUUGCCCGAAGUGCCAAAGUUUAUAACUCCUCUAAUUCGGAAGACGUCCAACAGUUAUUGGGUCGUUGCUGAUUAAUCCAAUCCAAGCAAAACGCCUUCAUUAAUCACCAAUUCUCACUCACAAAUAUUGCAACCUUUUUUACCUGUACAAAAGCUAACGAAGGGUGGCAAAACUAGAAACUCAAUUACAAUUACCAGUCCAACUCCACAUCUGACAUAAAUGGCACUAUUAGACCCUAUGGUCCCGAUCGAUGUGAUAACGCCUGCCUGCAAUGAAAUAAAUUAUUAGGUGAUAAAAAGUCAGCAACAAAUUUCGAUCAUUAUUAUGAGGAAGAAAAAAUAGCAGUUGUAAUAGUUGCGAAGCAGAUUUAAUGCAUGGGAAAUAUAUAUAUAUAUAUAUAUAUAUAUAUUUGCCUGAGAAAUCCACAUAGGGGUGUUUUGAAUCCACAAGUUACAAGUCAUAAUGUGGAUAACAUUUCAUGUUCUUUGCAACCAGCCAUACUGUAAGCUCAGACAUGCUUCCUUAAACAUGGAUCGAAUUGUGUUGUUAAAAGUUUAAGCAUUAGAAAAAAAUAGUGAUAAACAUCAGAUGCAGAAAGAAUGAAAAAUAGUGAUAUCCCCAUCAGAUGCAGUUUCUGUAUUGGUAACUAUAAUAUAUUUAGAUGAUGCAACUUUAUUGCUAAACAACAAUGUGCUGAACAAAAUUGUUUCCUAAGAUGCUCUAUGCAAUGAAAUAGCCUUAAAACGCCAGCCAUGAAUUCCUCAAUGGAUUUUCUGUCUCACAUUCUAUGCCACUCUCAGUCCCACUUUUUAUUAUAUUGCUAUUUCUCCUUCAUAAAUAUCAUGUUUUAAUUCUUUUUUGUUUCUUUAAGAUCCAAUAACUAUUAAUUGAGUAAUACACAAAAUUUAAUAAACUCAAAAAAUCAAAAUGCAUAAAAACGAGAUUUUUAUGAAUUUUCUGCUGUAGUUUUUAAUUUUCUAUUAUAUAUUACUUUUUUGAAACUGUUGUAUUUAUUUUUUACUCAAUCAAUAGUUACUGAAUCUUAAAAAAACAAAAAAGAAUUAAAACAUGAUAUUUAUGAAGGAGAAAUAGCAAUAUAAUAAAAAAGUAAAACUGAAAGUGGCACAAGAUAUAGAAUAGAAGAUCCGUUGCGAAUGAAUUCAACUCAACAAUCACAAUAAACAAAUCGUACAAAUGUUAAAAUGCCUGAAAUCAAUUUCUUGCGGCCCGCAUAAGAGCCAAUCUCACAAAGAGCCCUAAAGGUACUUUCGCCCCAACAAAAGCAUGCGAAAGAAAGAAGCUAUCCUUGGAGCUAAAGUGACAAGGCCAUCCCUUUCUGACCGACGAAGAUAAGAUGGGAAGGGCCGAUCGAGCUAGGAAUGCUCGUACGGGUCCAAGUGGUGGUUUGAUGUAACAUUGUACACUUCUAAAUGUACAUGGCUCGCAUAACAUGAAACAAAGCUUGGGAUGGAACCUUAUCUAAAUGUAGCAGCUUCCUAGUGCAGUUACCACAUCGAAUGGCUUAACUUGGGUGUUGUGAUUUUCCUCAUUUCCUAUCCCUUUUUAAUACUCUGACUAUUUUGUCCUUGGAGCUCUUUGUGCAUAUCAUGCAUGUGAUUUUCCGGUAGCAUUUAUGGCCUAAAUUUAAUAGGAUGGAUGACCAAGAAGCCGCGUGCGUUGUUUUUAAUAGUUGGGUCACACUUUUUACUGAGGAUAAAAAAAAAAAAAAGUUAAGUGACAUUUUAAGUUUUAGAAGAAAAAAAAAAAAGUUACUUAGGUGACAAAAAGCGAUAAAAAGGUAAUAAUUUGAUCGCAUUUUGACACCUCUAAUUUGGCCUGAAGUGAAAAUAACAAUGUGGAUAAAAGGUAAUAAUAAUUUGAUCGCACAAAUGUGGCCCGGGCCCGCAUAAGAGCGUGUGAAAUAAAGAAGCUGUCCAUGGAGCCACGUGACGGGGCUGUCCCUUUUCGAACGACAAGGAAAACAUAGAACGUCUCGAGAUAGGAAAGGCAUGGGUCCGUUUUUUUUUUUUUGAAAAACGUGCAAAAGCCAAAAAGACAAAUCGUUAUCCUGAGAAGAUUGCACAAGGAGACGAGGAAAUCCGGGGUUCGACCAAUUGUGGAUAAACUGAGAAUUGAAUGAAAAGUUAUUUAUUUAUUUUUCUUCAGAAUCUGUGUUAAUUGUAAUGGUAACUUUUCAAACUAACCCCUCUUAUUAAUGCUUUUAAGUUAUUUGAAAGUUUACUUCUUUUUUUUUUUGUUUUUUUUUACUGAAGAUAUAAGUUGUACUACAAGUUAUGCAAGUGCAAUCAAGAGAGAUGUUUUAGGAUGAGAAAUAAAAAGGAAUUCAAUUUACAAAUUUUAGUUGCACAAAAAAUUAACUAAAUUACAUGAAAUUAAACCAACCAAAUGCAUGCACUUAUUUUUAAUUCCACUAGUUUUAACUUAAAUUAGAAAAUCCCUUUCAUAAUUGCCCUACUUUUUCAGUUUUUCCAUGAGAAAAAAACUCCAACUUUGGUUUCCAUAUGGCAUCAAAAAACGGAUGAUUUAAGAAAUUGUCCAGAUGUACAGCAACAAUUGUAGGCCUACGUAUGUAGGAAGGGUGAAAAAAACAAGAGUGAGAAACCCUAGUAAAGUUGAACCAUCAGAAUUGAACUGCUAAAGAAGGUGAACAGCAGACAGUGAAAACCUUGAUCGUAUACUCUUGGUUUUGGCUGACAAUUUUCCACACCAAUAUGCAUUUGAUUAUAAGAAUGCCAAAGAUUUCAAUCUUAUCAAGUGAUUGACAAAGACAGCUGUGUUAUCCUAUACCGCAUGCCCGUGACUGCUAUCAAAACUCUGUAUCAAAUAUUGAUCUAUAAAUAAAAAAAAAUUUUUUAUCGAAACGGCAGUUUUAUAUAUGAUCGUAAAAACUUUACAGUAACUGGACGAGGGUCGAAGCAACAGGGACAACAGUCCCACAAUAUUCAAAAUAUUGAUCUAUAAACAUGCCACAGUAUUAUAUCGUUAUUUCAUUUAAGAUUUGAUUUCUUUGUAAUAUAGGUCACAAAUACUUGUGUAACAUAGUUCAAUCAUUUGUCUCCCGUGAUGGACAAGGGGGUAAAGGAGUAGGUGGGUUGUGAGCAGUUCAUUGUUAAAAUGCUUAAAACUACCUGUCUACAUCAAGCUAACAAUGGCAGCAGCUGUGGAAUAAAAUUUUCUUGCAAUUUUUUUUAUAGGAUUUUAGAGAAUGAGUCGCUUUUGUUUUGGAGGUGCAAGUGUUAUUCAGAGUCAGAGGAGAAGUGGUCUUAGGCAUUUCACAGUUGGAGAGACUAAUGUCAAAAGUAAUUGAUUCAGGUCAAAUAUAUGUGGUAAUUGAAACAUUUAAAAGCCCUUUUUAAGCUUUAGCAAGUAGGAAGCACGUAAAAAAUUCAAGGUCGCACCGAACUCCUCUCACGUGUAGAGGCUUUCUCUCUCUCUUGGGAAGAGAGCUUCUUUCUCCUUGGUGGGAACUUCAGCGUUUGAAACUUCAAAGCAACCAAUGAACACAGUUCAAAAGUUUGAAACUUUGCUAUCUUCCAGUUACCAAAAUUGUCUGCAUGUUGGGAUCGUAAAGCCAAGCAUUCACUAAGGAUCCAGAAUCAGAUAUCAUCAAGAAGGCAUAGUGAAGGAAACAAGAACAGGGGAGCGGGUUGUAGAAAAAAAAAAAAAAAAAAAAAAAAAAAAAAAAAGGUAAGGGUACUUCAGUUAGUCUAUUUCCUGAGCAACUGGUCGGAAAAUUCCAACAACUCUGGUUAAGGAAGGACGUCUAGUGAAGGUAUUUUAACUGUUCUUGCUCUUGUGCUCUUUUCCUUUUUCCUAGUACAUUUGGCUCAGCUAUUCAGCUCAGUGUGUUUGUCUGGAGAAAACGUUAUCUUCUUCUUAUUUUUACCUCUAUAGGGUUAGGUGUUUAGUGUGGCUGGUGGUAAGUGCUAGGAGUGCCGUCUGGUUUCAGCUUGGGUCAGAAUGGAGGAGGAAUUGGUGGAAGUGUUACAGAAAUUCGCCCUCUCAGAAAGGGAAGUAGGGGGUACCCUUCUGGAUUUGGGGGACCUAGAUGAGGGCAUUACAGAGUGCCAGGGUAGUAUCAUAGGGAAGAUACGGGGGGAGAAGAUUGCUAAUUUCACAGGAGUUAAAAAUUUUGCUACUGUGGCUUGGAGCUACCCUAAAGGUCUUAGAGUAGCUGAGUUAGGUCCUAAUGUUUUCCAAUUUACUAUCCCGGAUGCUAAGGAUAGGGAACGAAUUCUUGGAGGAGGGCCAUGGAUCAUAGACAACCAGAUUUUAGUGCUUAGAAAUUGGGAGGUGGGGAUAGAGGAGGAUGAAGACGCGUUUAGUGUAGCUCCUGUUUGGGUGCAGGUAUGGAACCUACCCAUACAUUGUCUGUCUAAGACAGUGGGAAAGAAAGUGGGAUCUAUCUUUAGUGAGGUUAGGGAGGUGUUAAUCCCUCAAUCAGGGGGCAAGGAGGGGAAACAUAUGAAACUUCUGGUUCUGAUAGAUAUUAAACAGCCUUUGUUGAGAGGUACAACAAUCCAGAUGAACGGGGUGAGUAAGUGGCUGUCUUUUAAAUAUGAAAAAUGUCCUGACUUCUGCUAUAGUUGUGGUGUCAUUGGGCACAGUGAAAAGAAUUGUAAGUGCCCUGUGAUGGUGAAAAAGGGACAAUACCAGAACCAGUAUGGACCUUGGAUGAGGGUGUUUGGGGGAAGAGGAUCUCCUCAGAAGGAAGGUACCCAAAAGAUGUGGACGCCACACAAGCAGGUAUGGAAGGUUAGAAAUGGGGAAAUGAUCAGAAUAGAGGAUUUAGAGAAACAGGAGAAAGGGGUAGGUCUGUAUGAGAAUAUGGAUUUGAGCAAGACAAAGGAAGUUAGGGGGGAAGAGAGCCAGACUCAUGAGUUAGAGAAGGGGGGACUCACUAUUGCAGAUAGGGAGAAGGCCGGUAGGAUAUUACCAAAUUGGAGCUCUGAGAAGGACAGGGAGAAGGUGAUAGGGAUGCAGGAGGGUAUUAAGAGUAGUACAGGAAUGGAUGUAGUACGAAUAUUGGAGGGUAGGAAUGAUGAGGUUACUAAUAUGGGAAAUACUGAGAAGGGAGAGGUUGGAAGGAUAGGAGAAGGUAAAGGAGGGGAACAAGAAAUACCCAGUUCAGGGGAGGAGCUAGUGAAUAUGGAAACAGAUGAAACCAUAAAUAAAGAAAACCAAGGAGGGUGUAGGAUAGAGGGGAAGAGGUUCAGGAGAGUGCACACUGGACCUAGAGAGAUUAGAACUCCUCUAAAGGAGCUCAAUGGGACAAAAAGGAAGUUUUAUCUGUGUGAUGAAGAAAUGACAGAUGUGGAGAACCAGGAUCACAUAGAUAAAAAGUAUAGGGGAGAACAGAUUGGAGGGAUAAGCAAGGAUUUGUCUGAAGGGGAUGGGAUCAGCCCUCACUGGUCCCCAAAGGACCAAUGAGAGCUAUGGUGUGGAAUUGCCAAGGAGCAGGGAGCCCCUUGACAAUUCCCCACCUGAAGGAGGUUAAAAACCUCCUCUCCCUGAACAUGAUAUUCCUGAGUGAGACUAAGAAUAAAGCUAAGUAUAUGGAGAAGGUGAAAAGGAUCCUGAAUUAUGAUAACUGUUAUGUGGUUGAAGCCAUGAAUAAGGCAGGGGGCAUGAGCCUGAUGUGGAAUGAGGAGACUAAAGUUAAGGAAAUUAAACAUUCUGCCUUUACAAUUGAGGUGUUGAUAGAGGAUGCAGAAGUGAAGAAGGAUUGGUGGCUGAUAGGGAUCUAUGCUAGUUGUGAUAACCAGCAGAGACGAGGGCAGUGGGAAGUCAUCAGUAGGAGGAAAGUUUUGUGGGGGGAAGACUGGCUUAUUAUGGGGGACUUUAAUGACUUAUGUUCUAAUGAGGAGAAGUGGGGAGGUAGAAUUAGGGAGGAGUGGAGUUUCUAUGACUUCAGAAAUUUUAUUCAGGAGAACCAGCUGGUUGAUUUGGGGUUUGAAGGUAACCCAUGGACUUGGAGUAAUCAGUGGCAAAAUGGAGAAAUUAGACAAAGGCUGGAUAGGGGUCUAAGUAGUGGAAGUUGGAGCAAUCUGUUUGAGCACCCCAAGUGUACUCAUUUAGAAAGCUUAGCCUCUGACCAUAGCAUGCUGAUUCUGGACACUAUUCCAGGGGUAAGGAGGAAAAAAAAGAGAUUCUGGUUUGACAAAAGAUGGGUCCAGAGAGAAGGUAUAGGAGAGGUGAUUAAGAAGGCCUGGGAUGAGGAUGUUAGAGGAUCCAGAAUGUUCAGAGUUAUGAAUAAGAUUAAGAGGUGUAGGGUUGCUCUGCUGAAGUGGAGAAAUGAUUUUAUUGAUAACACUAGGAAGAGGAUCUCUACUCUGAAGCAGCAACUGAUUAAGGAAAAAAGUUCAGAGGCUGAAGGUAGGAAAGGGAGAAUAGCUGUUUUGAAGAAUCAGUUAGUGGGAGCUUAUAGGGAAGAGGAACUGUAUUGGAGUCAGAAAGCAAGGCUCAACUGGCUUCAGGAAGGGGAUAAGAAUACUAAAUACUUCCAUGCAGUGGUGAAGGGGAGGAGAAAAAGGAAUAAUAUAGGUAAUUUGCAAAAAGAGGAUGGGUCCUGGACUACGGAUGACAAGGAGAUAGCAGAAGAGAUUGCUAGUUAUUAUAAGCAGCUUUUUAAGUCUUGUAGGACUGAUGAUUUUGAGGAGAUUCUGGAUGGCAUUCCUUGCACUAUUACUAGGCAGAUUAAUGAAAAUAUUACUAGACCUGUAGAGGAAAAUGAGAUAAAAGUAGCUGUUUUCUCCAUGAAUCCCAACAAGGCUCCAGGGCCUGAUGGGAUGACACCUCUCUUUUUUCAAAAAUUCUGGUUAACCAUCAAGGAGGAGGUUGUGAAUGCAAUCAGAUCUUUCUUUCACUCGGGCCACAUUCUCAAAUCUUUGAACCACACCACUAUAUCUCUUAUUCCUAAGGUAGAGUUGCCCACUGAUCUGAAGCAUUAUAGGCCUAUUAGCCUGUGUAAUGUUUUAUACAAAGUAAUCUCUAAGAUCCUAGCCAAUAGGCUGAAACCUGUCCUGGAUGUCUGUAUCAGCAAAAACCAGUCAGCCUUCAUACCAAACAGACAAAUCUUAGAUAAUAUUAUCAUUUCCCAUGAAUGUCUUCACUUCCUUAAAAACAAGAGACAAGGCAAGGAUGGUUAUACUGCUAUUAAAUUGGACAUGUCUAAAGCCUAUGACAGAGUUGAGUGGAGUUAUCUGAAAGCUGUUAUGGAAAGGAUGGGGUUCAAUUAUAUCUGGGUAGCAUGGAUUUUGGAUUGUAUUAGCUCAGUAUCAUACUCCUUCAAUGUUAAUGGAGAGACUAAGGAGUAUGUAAUCCCUUCAAGGGGCAUCAGGCAAGGUGACCCACUGUCACCUUACUUGUUUCUUUUAUGCUCUGAAGGUCUCUCAAACCUGUUAAGGAAAGCAGCACGACAAGGCAAGCUAAGUGGUUUAAGAAUCAGCAAACAAGGACCUGCUAUUACUCAUCUAUUUUUUGCUGAUGACACCCUAAUAUUCUGUAAAGCUGCGGGGGAGGAAGCAAGGACUUUGAAAGCUAUUCUGAAUCAGUAUGAGAAGGGAUCUGGUCAAGUCAUUAAUUUGGAAAAAUCUUCUAUCUGUUUUAGCAAAAACACUAAGGCUGAAGAUAAGAAGGAAACCUGUGAGUCUUUAGAAGGGGUUAGGAUAGUGAGCCAGGGUAAAUAUCUGGGCCUUCCUAUGGUGAUCACAAGGACAAAAGGUCAGAUUUUUGCCUACAUUAAAGACAGCAUAAAGACUAGGCUCAACAACUGGAAGAACAAGCUUCUAAGUGCAGCAGGGAAAGAGGUGAUGUUAAAAGCUGUGACAAUGGCCAUGCCAAUCUAUGCAAUGUCUUGCUUCAAGUUACCAGUUACACUUUGCAAGGAAAUCUCAGGACUAAUGGCUAAAUACUGGUGGGGUGAAGUAGGAGGGAGAAACAAAAUGCAUUGGUGUUCAUGGGACAGGAUGAUGAAGGCAAAAAUGGAUGGAGGUUUGGGGUUCAGGAAUUUAAGAUGUUUCAACAAGGCGUUACUGGGAAAGCAGAUUUGGAGGAUGCUCAGAUUUCCAAACCUGCUGGUAAGCAAAAUCUUAAAAGCUAAGUACUUCCCUAAGGACUCCAUUUUGAACUGUAAAAUCCCCAAAAAUUCGUCCUGGUUCUGGCAGAGUAUAAUGUCAGCUAGGGAGGUAGUUAAGGGAGGGGUACUGAAGAGGGUAGGAUCAGGGAAGAGUAUUAGAAUUUGGAAAGAUCAAUGGAUCCCAAACAAUCUGAAUGGAAGACCAACUACAAUGAGGGCAGAUAGGGGGGAGGAGCAGAGAGUGGAGGAACUAAUUACAAACUUCAGAUGGAAUAGGAAUGAAGUCUACAGGAGGUUCAAUAGGGAGGAUGCGGAUAACAUACUGAAAAUACCAAUCAGUCUGUCAAAUUCUGGGGACAAGCACUUCUGGAUACAUAGCAGACAGGGAGAAUACUCAGUAAAAUCCUGCUACCAGACUUUACUCAAGGAAGAGAAAAGGAAAGAAAGUGAUGCGAGAGGAGAGUCUGGGUCGAGCUAUGAUGACUCCAACACACAAAUCUGGAAAACUCUUUGGGAGCUGAACAUUAAACAUAAGAUCAAGCUAUUCAUAUGGAGAUGCAUUACGAAUACGCUGACAGCUAGGGAAUCGAUCUUCAGGAGAACAAAGCAAGGAUCGCCAUUUUGCUCAAGAUGUGGGGAUGGAAUAGAAACAGUAGAACACAUCUUGUUCCACUGUCAUCAGGCCCAGAAGGUUUGGAAGCUGGCACCAGUACAAUGGGAUGGUUUACAGAAUCAAACAGGAUGCUUCAAGCAAUGGUGGUCAGCAUUAGUCCAAUCCAGAAAUAGAAAUGGAGGAAGGCAGCAUAUUGGAUUGACAGCUAAUAUACUGUGGCAGCUAUGGAAGGACAGAAAUGAAAUGGAGUUUGAAGGGAAAGAGAGAGAUGGAUGGAAAGCUGUACAUAAAGCUAGCACGGAAUGGAUGGAGUAUGAGGAAGCUGGAAAAAGGAUGAAUGAGGAAAGCACACUAGAAACAGAUGAAGCAAGAGAAAGAGCUAGGGAGGAAGGAAGGGAGGAGGAAGACAUGAUGGAACUUCAAGUAGCUACUAAGAGAUCAGCUGAGGGUAAGAGGUUGGGAAUUGGGGUUGUAGCUAGGCAGAAUGGAGGGAGAAUCAGAGCUGAAUGGAAGUUAAUUGAAAGAAGUUCGGACAGGGAUAUUCAGGAUGAAGCCGAAGCAGUAAGAUUGACUAUGUUGAAAGCAAGACAGUUGAGCUGGCAGAAAAUCAAAAUCAUCAAUGCUAAUAAACAGCUUAUUGCCAUGCUUAAAACUGGGAUAGGGGACAACCCAAAUACUGCUACAUUGGUUGAGGAUAUACAAGCGUUAGCUAAUCUGUUUCAAGUGUGCACUUUUGAAGAAAGAACUAGUAGUAAUAUGACUCUAUGUAAUCACAUUAGCCAUUAUGCUUUAAGCAUACUUAGGGAUGAGGAGAGGUUUUUUGGCUCUCCUUAAGUGUCUUGGUACACUUAGUAUAGUUGAUUGGGCCUUUGCUCAGAUAUUGUAAAGUUAGUUUCUUAUAAAAUGACAUCUAUCGUUUCCGGAAAAAAAAAAAAAAGUAGGAAGCACGUAUAAAUCUGCCAUCAUUUUUUGGUUAAAUGGUACGUCAAUAGUUGAACUUUGCCUUUUCACUCAUUUCGAGCAAUCAAUCAUAAGAGGAAAUAGACCAACUCACUCGCGUAUCCAAGUAGCAUUCGGCAGCCAGGAGGAAUUGCAUUGCAUGCGCUUCUUAUUCAAACACACAAUAAUUUGCUGGUACAUUUUAUUUUACAUAAAACGUCGUUGCUCCAAGAGACUUCUAGUCUUGAAGCUCAUUUAUUCUUUCUAGGCAAAUUAUUAGAAGCACAUUCGUUGAUUGAUUCAUUCAGCGCUCCUCCUGAUUAAGCUGAACAUUUACGGUUCUUGCCACAGAUACGGCCCAAACGAGGUGAUGGUAUAUUAUUAACAAGUGCAACAACGGUUUUCUCGACAUUUGCCGCAACAAUAGCAUCAUAACUCUCACUCGAAUCCUCUCCUCCUUCUGCUCCAGCUGAAUUAGCCAGUCCGCGGAUGGCAAUCACUUGCUGGCCACUCGACAAGGAUGUCUGCACACAACCAAAGACAAGUCAAUUUGCUGCUUCCUACUGUUUUCUUGGGGUCAGUUUGAGAGGAUAAAUUUGAGAUCAGAUAUUCAAUUGCAGGGAAGACUCUUCAAAUUGGUUCUAGUUUGAUGAAGAAACGCUUUUACAAAAGAAUAAAGUAGCAGAAAGCAGUGAGGAUGAAAGUACUCGAUCUGGUAACAAGACAAUAAAAAUUACCAUGAUUACUGCUGCGCUCUCCAUAUCAAUGGAUGCAACGUGAAAAGUGCUGUGGAGGAAAUCUCUGUAAGCUGCAUUCUCAACAAAAAAGUUGGCAGUUGUGCCGUUGACUCCAAGAACUAGCUUAGGCUGUUUCGGGAGGCAAACGCCGUUUAGGCACUGGUCUAGCUCAAUUCCCUGUUUGAACAAAACUACCACCGUCAGAACCAAAAAGAAUUUACUAAAUUGAAAAUGGGAAAGGGGUUAUUUUAUUUUCGCUUGAAAUAGAAUUUGGCAACUUAAAAUAAAGGUAAAGAGAAUGUUAAUUCUAGAUCUGAAUCUGUGCCUUGUUACCUCUAGAGUGGAAGCGAUUUGCAGCAAAUCCUCGGAUGCCUCGAACCAAAAUUUUCUUACAGGAACAUCAGGCUCUCCUGUCUGGGAAAAGAAGUACUCUUUCAUAUAAGCCACGCGACCCAACAGAUUAUAUCCGCCAAUGGGAAUGUGAUAGCGUCUGAACUCUAGGUCAGCAACCCCAUUAUCUGGCUGUGGUGCUGCCUCGGAUUUCUGCAAUAUGCAUGCAUGCAUGCCCAGAUGAAGAUACAUGCAAAAAUGUAAUUCCUCGAAUAUUAAAAAAAAAAAAACACGUAGAAUAAUUUUGAAGCAGGGAAAGGACUAAAAUUUUGUCCGCUUCACAAAAACAUAAAUAAAUAAAGAAACUGAGGAAUUCAAUUGCACCAUCAGGUAUUUAGGCUCUCCAUUAAUUGGAGCUGCUGUCUACUGCAUACGGAGGGAGGAGAAAAGCAUCAUCCAAAUCCAAGAGGCAACUGGUUCAUAAGCCUUGCUUGCGAAUUUCAGUAAUUAGCACAUUUUUUCCUUUUUUUUUCUUUCUUUCUUUCUUUUUUUGGUAAGCGACAGAUCAUAAUUCCAAAAUCUCCUACUUCAAUGUUUUAUUUCCGCGGUUCUUUUGUCAAGUUGAGUGUAGUGACUCGAAUUCUUAGUGAUACUGACUGAAUUGUUGGCAGUUGGCACUGAUUGUGUGCGCUUUAUGAAACUUUAGGUUUUACCUUUAAGGUAAAAAAAAAAAAAAACAAAGGAAUUAAUAUUACCAGCCAGUCCCAUAUUCCAGUUUGAGAAAACUGCAUUGGGAUGACAACAUCUCCCACGGACAGGGAACUGUCGGCGCCGCCCGCAGUGCCAAAGUGUAUAACUGCUCUAAUUGGGAAGAAGUCCAACAGUAGUUGGGUCGUUGCUGCAGCAUUCACCUGAUUAAUCCAAUCCAAGCAAAAUUAUUGAAACCUUUUUUCACUCGUACAAAAGCUCCCAAACUAACGAAGGGCGGCAAAACUAGAAACUGGGACCUAUUGCAACACAAUCACGCUUACCAGUCCAGUUCCACAUCCGACAAUAAUGACACUAUUAGACCCUAUGGUCCCGAUGUGAAAACGCCUGCCUGCAAUGAAAUAAAUGAUUAGGUGAUAAAAAGUCAGCAACAAAUUUCGAUCAUUAUCAAGAGGAAGAAAAAACAGUAGUAGUAAUAAUUAAUGGUUGCGAAGCAGAUUUAAUGCAUGGGAAUUAUAUAUAUAUAGAUAUUUGCCUGAGAAAUCCACGUAGGGGUGUUCUGGAUCCGGCUUGAAGGCACCAUCAUCAGAAAAGGGUGUCGCUUGUUUGUAACUAUGAGCGGAGAUAAGACCAAGAAAAGGCGGUCUAACAGACAACUCCUUGAUUGCCCGAGGCAAAGGAGCGGUUAAAACAUUGACCGCUAGAGAAGAAAUCACAACUGAAACCAGUAAAAGCAAUUUCAUUUGUUUUCCAGCCAUUUUAUGCUCUUUCUAUCGCUCUCCUAAUCUCCUUGCUCUCCCAACUCGACUGCAUGGUGCCUAUUUAUAGCACAAAUUGCGGUAAGAUUUGCCAGCUACCAUCUGUAAAUACACUCUUUUAACUUUUCACCACAAACCAUAUUCUCUCCUGCGUUAUUAAUAUUGUCGCUUUCCAAAUUAUGUUUCUGGGGCCAAAUUAACUCGCUGUUCUUGAUUGUAUACCGUUAAAGUCAGUAAUCAAUAAUGUGGUCCAACAUUUCAAUUAUUUUCACAAGAAUUAAGGUCCACCAGUUGGAUAUCAUUACUUACAAGUCAUUAUAUGGAUACCAUUUCAUGUUCUUUGCAACCAGCCAUACUGUAAUCUCAGACAUGCUUCCUUAAACAUGGAUCGAAUUGUGUUGUUAAAAAAAUAUUUUGAUUUUGAUGCAUCAUUUAACUACAUGGUUUUCUAGUUCUUUAAAAAAAAAAAAAAACAAAACAAAACUAACAAGGAUGCCUAAAAUUUCAGAGCUUUCGAGAGGGCAAACGGCUGGCUUUCUGACCGAUGAUUGAUAACUAAGGAUUUUUUUUUUUUUUUGGGUGAAUGAUUGAUUAAGGUAGGAGAUAGAGAUAGGCCAUAUGCAUCACCCUUAAAAACAGUUCAUAUUUUUGUUUAUGGAACUUGUGGUUUGCAUUCUACAUUCUGAAAAGCCAACUUAUAGUUUGUUUCUCCUUUUUUUCACUCGUUAUAGAUAGUUGUGCAGGCGGCAAAUAUAGAUAAACGUUAAAAAAUUUUGACAGAUAAUUAAGGCUUUCUGUUGUAUAAAUGCAGGAUCUAUAAGCCCAUCAGUUAUCUUCAUCCGAUACUUUGAGUUCCUAGCUACCCCUGUGAUAUAUGAACAUUAUAGGGCAAACCUAUAGAAGAAGGAAAAAAUGAAAAAUAUAGUGAUAUAUACUAUCUCGUCCCAUUGAUAGUGUCAUACUUUUCUUUUUUAUCUGUCCCAAAAUAAUUGUCACUUACUAAAAUUGGCAAUGAAAUCUUUCACACAUUUCUAUUAUAUACCCUUCAACGUGACAGCCCUUUCUUAUUUUUUAGUGGGCCUAAUUAUGCACUUACCAAGUACCAACACUGCACUUAAUAGUUUGUGACUCCUACGUGAAAUGCAAAUAACAACUGUGCAUGAUACUUAAUUUCCUCUAAAGUAGUGCGGAGACAUUUCAUUCUUUUGGGUUCCACAUGUCUUAUCAUACCUUGUGGCCUUUUUAUCAUUCAAUCUCGUAUGAAUACAUUGAAAGUCAAGCGAUGUAUUACCGGAAAUUGAACGCAAAUCAUUUAAAAGUCUUGCACCGUUGAUAAUAAUUGCAAGUCUCCCGAUGUGAGACACACUUUCUGCGGCGGAGGGAGUACUUUCUGACGUAGUAACCUAUAAUACUUUACGGUUGCUGCUACGGUAGAAAGUGGGAUGCACUUCCCAGCGUAGGCAGAAUGCCCACUAGAAGUACAAGUCAGCAUGAGCAUCUUUGUCCGUGUUUUUGGGACCCAAUUGAGGGAAGGUAAGCGGCAGAGGCUGUUAUCAUCUUAAGGGACUAACGGCAAAUACCAAUAUAAACUGUUGGGUCGUCAAAUGAAUAAAGAAUGUCUCAGACAGGACAGUAAAAGUCAUUAUUAAUUUAUGAUAUGAAUAGAAUCAAAUGAUUAUAUAGGAUUUUCAAAAAAUUAUUAUUUUAUUAUUUUAUCAAAAUUAUUAAUUUAACUCGUUAAGCAAGUCGAAAUCAAAAUUUAAAUUGAAUUCUAAUCUGAGUUUUGAGUCAGUGGAUUCGAAUGACUCAUUUAAAUCUAAACGCAUAUUAAAACUCAAUUAUUCAUGGGGUUAAGUAAAUCCACUAAGUAUUGUUAAAAUUUGUUAGACACAUUUACUAUUACAGUAUUUUCUUUUACUUUUCCCCUUCUCUUUCUUUCUUCUUAUUUUGAAAAUUAAGGAAUCUUUUCAAUUGUUGUGUAAAUGAUUUCUCAUGUUAAUACACAAAUCCAUUUUAACUCUUGUAAUAUUUCAUCAAUUGAAACUCGUCACAAUUACCAUUUAUAUUAUGGUACAAAUUUUCAUUGGGUCUUUUCCUUUUGAUUUGGAUAAAAAAUUUAUUCACUAAAUUAAUGUUUUUAAUUUAAUAAAAUAUUAUUACUUAUGUUUAAACAAUAUACGUGAACCUUUUUUUUCCUUUUUAGAUCAGAUGGUAGUGUAUAUAUGAUAAUUUAUCAUUCAAAAUGCAUAAUAGGCAGAUAAGGACCAUAAGGUUGAGGCCCAAGAAUUACAGAUUUUAGAUUCAAAUUCCUCUACCCACCCACUAUUUCUUAAAUCCUACCUCUUCCCUAAUAAAUUUUUUUAAAUGUAGGGACUUAACUCUUACAUGCAUAAGCAAAAUCUAAUUUUCAUCCAAUUUCUAAUUAAAUAUUUAUUCAUAAUACUAACAACUUAUUGCUUUCGUCAGUUGUUCAUAUACCAUGUCUUCCUAGUCGAGGGAAUCUGGAAAUUCUGAUGCAAUUAAUAACUUUUUUGCUUCAUGAAAUACUCCUCUCAUUUCAUUCUCCAUUUCUCUAAGAUUAUGUGAUUUAUAUACAAAAUGUCAUGCGAGAGUAGGAUAAACUUACAUGUAUAUAUAAGCGUGUGUGUGUGUCUAUAUAUAUAUAUAUAUAUAUAUAUAUAUAUAUAUAUAUAUAUGCUGAUGAUAAGUCAAACAAUCCUAAGGCUCUAGCAUUUAGAAUACAAAGUUUUAAUUUAAAGGCGCCAUCAUUUAAAUUCUAAAUUUUCAGUUUAGAGUCCGAAUUUUCAAUCCAAAGGCGUCAACAUUUAAAAUAAAAAAUUUCGAUCUAACCCGCAACUACCAAACUUCAAAUUUUCAUUGAGAAGGCGGCAACUACUAGUCCCCCAAAACUUCUAUUGAAUAUUGCAUAGAUUGAGAAAUAAUUAAACUCCAUUAUUGGAAAUACAUAAUCGCUAAUUUAAAAAAUUUAUUUAUAAUGGAUACAUAUCACCCCUAGCUUGAAAUAAUAAUAAAAAAAUUAAAAUACUCUUUUGUGUAUAGCUGGCAAUCGGGCAGGUUGGGUGGGUUAAUAAUGGAUUUUCACUUAAAUGGGUUAUACCCAACCCGUCCAACUUUAGAUUGGGUUGAUUUUGGAUUGGGUCAUAUUGGGUAAUCUCAAAUCCAUGACCCAAAUAUGACCCAACAUAUUAAUUAAUACAUUUUAAUACAUAAACUUUUUCAAAUACAUUUUAACACACAUAAAAGAUUUUUUAAAACAUAUAAACACAUUUUCACAUACAUAAAUGUAUACAAACACACACUCACUUUCUUAAGUUCCUUGGAAACAUAUCAUAAACAGAAUAAUAUUUUAUAUUGCUUGUAUUGUGAAUUUUAGAUAAUAAAUUGUACAUUUAACGAAGAGCAUAGCGCCCCCCCCCCCACACAAAACACCACCUUAAUCUUUUCAAUAAUCUCUUCCAUUGAUCCACUAUCAAUUUUUGUGUCCCUUAAAAAACUUUGAUUUGUGAUUUAUAGUUUGUCAUGUUCAGUAUAACUAGUUGCAGAGUUAGAAUUUAAAUUCAUAACCAUCUAGUUAUUUUAAUAGUUCAAACGUUCAAUCUUUGAAACUUUUGUGUUAUGUGAUUUAUGUUUAUGAUUGUUUUAUCUACAAUCUCAAUUCUAGUUUCUUGGUGUAUUAUGUUAAUUAUAUUUAUGAUUACUCAUUUACAAAUUUGAUAUCUAUUUGAAAGUCACCAUGUUACGUAUAAGAUUACUUAUCUAAUUUCUAAAUUAAAAUUAAAAUCUACCAGGUCAAUUAUGUCACGAUUCUGGUUUUUUGUAACACUAUGUUAAUUAUGUUUCUAAUUAUUCUUCUACAAUUUUGAUUCCAAUUAAAAGAUCACUAUCUAUGAGCACUUACUUAGAGGGAUCGCUGUUAGUAUAAACUUUUUAAAAUCAUUUUCUAAACUUUCAAUUUUAUCCUUAGGGAAAAACUUUUAAUUUUUCCUCUAAUUGCUUAAUCACAUUUUGCCAAUAUAACUACCCUAAGUAUUGUAAUUACCAAAUUACUAUAACCUUCUGAACCAAAAUUCUUCAAUAAAUUAUUGUGAAAAAUAAAAUUUUUAUACAAAUUAAUUCCUUUUAUUUAUUUAUGUAUAUAAUUACUCAUCUACGCAAACUAACAAUUAAAUUUAAUCCUUAAGAUUGAAGUACACAUAAAUACAUUUAUGGGCUUUUAACUUACCAAGGGUAAAUGCAAUAAAGAAAAAUCGCUUUUGAACUAAUGAACAUAAUUAAAAAAAUUGAAUGGCAAAAAUUGGAUAAAUUACUUUUAAAAAAGGGAAAAAAAGAAGAAGGGACAGCAAAUGUGAAGAUUGUGCAAAUGUAGAUACAUUUUAGUAUAAUAGAAUACUUAGUGAAUAUAGGUGCAUUGUUAUCUAUACUAUAUAUAAAGUUUGAGGAAGGGAUUUGGAGUUAACAUUUUAUGAACAUUUUUUAUCCUUAUAAAAAUUAAUUUUACUUUAACUAUCUAUAACUACUCGUCGCUACUUUUACUUCUAACUAUUUAAGCAUAUGUUUUUAACAUAACUACCCCUAAAUAUUAUAACUACUAAUAUAAAUUAUUUUAUGAAAAUUAUUUAAAACAUUAAAGUUUGUUUCAAUAAUAAAAAUUUUAUUUAAAAUAUAUUAUCAUAAAUAUUAUAUAUUUUUUGAUUGCACGCACAUUAUGAAAAACGAAGCAGAAUAUGAUUAAUAGUCCUAUGAUUAAUAGUCCUUAAAUCAAUAGGACUAAAUGCGCUUAAUCAAUAGUCCCAAGGAUUAUUGCAUCUGACCAAUUUUUCCAAAUCUUUCAGCUAUUUGCAGCUUGUUUCCUGCUAAUUAGGCAUGGGGAGCUACUCUCCAAUUAAUGAUAAUUCUUUAAUGCAUACAAAUGCCCGCAACUUGUUUCCCGCCAAUCAGGCAUGGGGAGCUACUCCAGAAUUAAUGAUAAUUUUUGGGUGCAUACAAAAGUCCAUAAGUUGUUGAGGGGCAUACAUGUUAUUUAUCCUAAAAGUACAAGGGACAUGGUGAAACUUUUUCUACCAGGUUCCGGUCACUACUUUUAAUAACCUUUCUUCACCCAGGCCCACACUGCUGUGUUGUCCUAAUUUCCUUGGCUCUUCCCACCGUGCAUAGGAAGGUCAGCUUUCCACCGUAGAUGGAACCAAUACUUUUAGAUGUAGAACGUACAGACAAUGCAACUUUUAUUGCUAAAGAACAAAGUGCUGAACAAAAUUGUUAAGUUUUAAAACUAUUAUUGUAUUUGACAUAAAAUGCCAGCCGUGAAUAGAGUAAAUGGAGCAAAAUGUCGUCACACUAUUACUUUUAUAGCUAAAAAUGUCACUUAAUUAUUUUGUAGCUAAAAAUGUCACAUAACUUUUUUUCGUAGCUAAAAAAUGGCAUUUAACUUUUUUUCUUAACUAAAAAUAUCACUCAACUAUUUAAAGAUAACUUAUCAGUAAUUACGUUAAGUUUGUGCAUCAAAGCCAUGGAAAAGUAACGCACGUGACUUGCACGAGAGACCGUUGAAGGGUAAAAAUGCCCGAAUUUUCUUUUAGAGACAAUUUGGAAAAAUGAACAAUAUUCUCAGUGUCAAAAUUAGUUAUAUUAAAGGAUCAAGAACUUUAACUAAAAUACAUAGAACUGCUAGCUCAUGUGUUCUCUGCGGACGCCACCUAAGCUACCGGAGAUUAUUUGUGCUUUUAGGAUUUUUACUGUUCCACAAGGAGAAAACUAGAAGUUAGGAGAAGCUGAUAUCAUUUCUGUGCUUUUAGGAUUUUUUUUUUUUUUUUUUGAGACUCUGACUAUUUUGUCCUGGAGCUCUUUGCCCGUAUCAUGCAUGCGAUUUUCUGGUAGCAUUUAUGGCCUAAAUUUAAAAGGAUGACCAAGAAGUUGCGUUGCUUUUAACAGUUGGGUGACACAUUUUACUAAGGGAAAAAAAAAAAGUUUAAGUGACAUUUUUUACUAAGAAAAAAGUUAGGUGACAGUGAGACAUAAAAGGUAUUAAUUUGAUCACAUUUUGGCCUGAGGUGAAAAUAACAAUCACAAUAAACAAAUCGUACAAAUUUAAGAAUGAACGGAAACAAUUUCUGCUGGCCCUGGCCCUGGCCCGCAUAAGAGCCCAUCUCACAAAGAGCCCUGAAAGUACUUUCGCCACAACAAAAGCGUGAAAAAAAAAAAAAAGAAAAGAAAAAGAAGCCAUCCAUAGAGGAGCCAAGUGGCGGGGGCUGUCCCUUUCCGACCGACGAGGAAAACAUACAACGUGCCGAGGGAGGAUAGGAAUCCCCGUAUGGGUCCGUUAUUGUUUUAAAUUAAACCGUGCACGUGGAUAGACGUUGCUAUCCUCAGAUUGCACAAGGAGAUAAGGAAAUCCAGGUCGACCAAUCGUGGAUAAACUGAGAAACAAACGCGUAGACUAAGAUUUUACGUGAAAUAUCGCAUGGGAUGGGAGUUUCCUCCAGGUGUACUAGCCUUCAAAAUUUUAGAAAUUUGUCGUAUGCUGUACAUAACAAAUGAAGAGGGGGCAGGAACGGGAUUAAUUGCCUGAAGCCAAUUAAUAUAAUGUUUUGCUGCCCAGACAUAUUAAUUGUGUUUGACAAUAAUGUUGUUCGUAAACCGGAUUUGCCAAACUAUUGACGGGAUUAUGUUGGAAUGCCUGAAAACAUUUUGUGCCUCAGCACACCUUAUGUGAGAUCAUCCUAAACAAAGAAUGCUAUGAAACUGGAUGGAGUCUUUAUUCACAGAUUUCUUGUGGCCAGUUUUUUUUUUUUUUGUGUAGGAGAAUAAGCUCCCAUCUCAAUCAAGCUUCAUAAAAAUCGUAAUGAAUGGCAAAAUUUCAUGCUCGUAUGGAUAUUGUAAUGAAAGUCUUGUACGGUUAAUUCUAUGUAUGCCCCCGUUGCAGUGUGGCAGAAAACAACAACAUUAAUGUCAUCAAGUUUAUUGCGAGGCCUUAAACCACAUUGAUGUUUAUAUGGUGGCCUUUGAUGAGGAUUAUUUGCAUCUUUGUGACUAAAACUUGUAAAUGACCUGCUCAUAAUGCCUUCACAAAUUGAACAACAGCUUUGGCGGCAUUUGAAGCUGCCAGAGGCCCAAAUGAGUAGAUUGAAUUCUGCCCUUCUUGUGCUCCAGCUUGGUCGGA